rnacentral:lncRNA from 1 species
AUCACACCACUUCACAAGUUAGUAACCAUAUACAUAUAUAAGAACAUAUUAUUCAUAACAUGUAACAUAUUGUGCAUAAGAUUUCAACGUAUAAAUCAUCAAUCAUACAUUCAAUCAUCUUCCAUUUCAAUUCAAAUGUACAUAACCAUUCCAUAUCACACAACAAACCUUUACUAAAUAGUUCAUUUUAUGGUUUCCUUUUCAUUUGUUGUCAUUUUUGGAUAACAUCCAUUUCAACCUUUUCAUUUGAUAUCCUUUCUGGAUAACAUCAUUUUCAACCUUUUUAUUUGUUAUCCUUUCUGGAUAACAUCCUUUUCAAUCUUUUCAUUGAUUCAGAAAUACCGAAUGUAAUGCCAUGGUAUCUUUCAACCAUGGUCUUUUCCUUUUUGAGUAUAAUACCAUGAUGUAUUUCAAUCACGGUUCUUUCCUUUUCUCAAAUCAAGACAAUCUUAAACAUCAAUACAUAGAUACAUAUAUAAAGAUAUCAAUUAAUCUUAUAAAUUCAAAUGUAAUAUUUUAAAAUGAUAUACGAACUUACCUCGACAAAAACUAUUGUAGAAAUGAAGCCGAUAACUAAUCCAACACUUUAGCUUUUCCUCAAUUUAACUUCAGUUGAUUCGUUUCUUGACCUAAAUAGUAAUUUAACUCAAUUAAAUAAUUCAAAUAGCUUAACUUUAUAAAUUCUAACUUAUAACUCAUUUUAAUGUAAAAUUACGAAUUUACCUCUAACAUUUGAACUUUUAUGCAAAUUAGUCUCUAAAUCUGAAACUCACAAUUAAACCACAAUCAAUGAAAGAUCAUCAUAUUUGAUUUUCUCUAAGGUCCAUUACAGACCAUGUCUUUCAUUAUUUCAUAAAAUUAUCAUUGACUUUUACCAUUUUCUCAAAUAAGUCCUUAAGCUUAAAUUCAUUAAAAUCACUUAACAAAAUGUGUUUAUUGAACAACCAAGCUUAAUAAUCUAUCAAUUAAAUUCACUAACACUAUAAACUCAUUCAUGGAAGUCCCUAAAAUUUUAACGAUUUUACAAAUUAACCCCCGGCUAGCUAGAUUAAGUUAAUACGAGUUCAAAAAUGUAAAAAUCAUUAAAAACAAGCAUCAAAUACAUACCAUGCAUCCAAAACAAAGCUUGGCCAAAAGUUUUACUUCUCAACUAUGGCAGAAUCAGUUUUCAAUAGAAAAUGGGUAAAAUGAUACUAAUUUUUACCUUUUGUUUUGUUUAACAUAUCAUUUAAUUAUUAAAUUACAAGAUUAACUUUUAAAAACUAUUAUAAUUACACUAAAACCUAUCCAUAAACAUCCACUAACUUAGAAUAUGGUAUAAUUAUCAUCCAAGUCCAUUAACUUACCUUUUCAAAACUAUUUGACCCUAUUAGCUAAUGGAAAUCAACGUUUUCACCUUUUUCAAUUUAGUCCUUUUUACUUAAUUAACUAUCUAAACUUAAAAAUUUCUUAACGAAAAAUUAAAACAACCCUCAUAUAAUCCUAUAAACAUUAAAUAAAUAAUAAAAUAAUGACUUACUUGUCGGAAUCAUGAUCCUAAAACCACUAUUUCUGAUACCACUAAAAACGGGCUAUUACAAGUAGUUCGUAAAACUUACCCUAUUUAAAGAGUAUUACACUGCAAAGACUUAAAAUGUGCGAGCUACACUAGGAGCGAACCUUGAUGUUGAGAUGUGUCUACUAUUUACUUAAAUUUAGAGUACCACCUAAAUAAAAGUUUGUUUAAAUGUAUUGAUGAAAGUACUUAAAUGAUUUUUCGCUGCAUGUUAGCAACUUAAGCAUAUUUUAUGUUUUAACUUGUAAUGUGUUUGGAGGUUAGGUUGGUUGUUAAUGGAGAGUCACUUAGGUGACUAAUGUGGUGUUCGAUAGCUAGGGUUCAGCAACUAGACUGGGUAUGAGGUGUUACAACUUAACCCUUUUUUAUGCUUCUUAUAAAAAAAUUAGUUAAUACAAACAAGGUUCAUAGAAAUGCCAAUGGCCAAAUUAAUAUAGUAGUUCUCAUUUUUAAGUUUAUAAAAAAUAUUUCCAACCAAAAUAAUUCAAGACUUAAAAAUGACAACAACUAUACUUGAAAUUAUAUAUUGGAAUCAACCCAAAAAUCAAAUUAGACAUUCCUCAAAAUUUGUCAUUAAAAUGACUUUAAACAAACACGUUUGAUGUGAAAUAAUAUUUAAUUGUUUGGUGUGAAAGAAUCUUGAUUUUAUUAAUAUAUGUAAUGACUUUAAUCAUUGUUGAUUAAGAGAAUUUUAAACAAUAUCAAAGUCCAAAAACAUAUGAUGUCUAGAUUUAGAAAACUUGUAUAUAUAAAUUGAAACCAUCAAAUAAACAUAUAAAACAACUAGUUUAAUGAUGAUUGAGAACAGAUGCAAGGUCACAUAUUAUGAUGAACCUUAGGGCUUGAUUAAUAAAAAUGACCGAUAAUAUUAUGAAUCGCGAUUUAAAAAUCUAUCAAUUUAUAACAUUAAAAUUAAUCUAUCACUGUUCAGAAAUAAUUACCAAGUAAUUAUCAAAUAGCAUAUAUUAAUAAAAAAAAUUUAUGAACAAAAAUACAAAUACAUAUAAGCAUGUAAUGUGAUAAGUGAAAUUUACCUCAAUUUCUUUUCUUCUAUGAAAGUUUUAAUAGCAACUUUCUUGUUCAACGUUGAGUCUUGAUGAUUUUAUCAAAAAGUAAUCAAAUUCAAAAUAUAUUGAUAAAAAACUUUUAUUUCAAAAUAACUUAUAUGAUACUAAGACACCCCAAUGUUAAGAGCACCGAAUCAAAGUCCAUACCGAUAUUAAAUCUUUCACCAUUCAUCUAAGAUCAUAAAAAAAAAGUUAAUCAAAACAAUUAUAACUGACCACAAAUUAGCUAAAAAAAAUCAGAUAUGAAACAUUCAAUAAAAAAACUUCCUCUAAAAAAUUUGCAUCUUGUCGUCUAAGAUAUUGGAAAUCAUAGAGGAUAAUUUUGAUCAUCAAUAAAAGGAACUGCACUUUGAGCAAUAUUAUAAUAAUAAAUAUUCUCAAUAGUAAAACAAUCGAAUUAUUUAUACCAAAUUUACGGAAUAAUAAUAUGUAUGUCAAAUAUUGGCAUAGAGAGAAGUAGUCAAAAUAAUAACUUAAAACAAAUUGAAAUAAUGAAAUUUCUUUUAGUAACCUUUAAAAAAAUGGUGAAUAAGCCAAAAUAAUUUAAAGAAGAAAAAAAUUGAUUUGUAUGCUUUGAAUAUUUCUCUUUCUAUAAAAAUAUGAUGAACAAAUUAAAAUAAUGAUGAAAAUACGUAUACCAUAAAUAGUUUAACGGGAGCUUUAUGGGCAAGUUAUAUAUAGUCGCAAUGACGUGAACUUCACUAUGAACUUGUAGAGGCUCGUGUUGAUAACGUGUUAUAAGACUUAAAAGAAAUAUAUAAUGAACAAGAGAGAAGAACAAAAGAUAAAAGGGUGAUUUAACUUUCACAUUGGCAUCCAAUAAGCUUGUACAUGCCCUCUACUUAUAGGCUUCAAAAACCAUAGGUUACAAAGCAUUAAGGACCAACAUUAAGUUACUCUAUAAAUGGUUUAUGGAUUACAAGAUAAUGAAUUUACGAGUUAUGGACAUUCAUCUUUUAGGGGUUACAAUAGGAUAAAUUUAAGGGGUUAUGGACAUCCAUUUAUCAAUAGAUUUACAACGGAAAUAAUAUUAUAAUCUUUCUAAUAUCAAUUAUGUUUUUUCAAAUUUUAAUUAAUUAAUUAUUAUGUUUAAUGUUUUCAAUUAUAUUAUUCAUGAACAAUUAAAAUUUUAACCUAAAAUUAUAUAAAUUAAUUAAAUAAAAAUUUAUUGUUAAAUACAAUAAUCUGUUACUCAAAGAUAAAUGAAACUAGUUUGUAAUAAUUAUAAAGGAAAUUAUUUGAUACAUUGUCAUCGAAAUUUUUAGACUUCACAAACAAUGUUAGAGUUGAAAACUGUCAUAUAGAAGUAUAGUAAAAUAUUAAAAAAUAUAUAUUUUAAAAAAGAGAUAAAUGUUAAUUUUUCAAGACUAUUUGUGAAAUUAAAAAAAAUACAUUACUAAUAUACCAAAUGCUAAACCCCCGUACUUUAUUGUGUUGGAGUUCUAAAAGUGCUUUUCCAUCACAAAAGCGACCAAGAACACCUAAUUUUAAGGGUCAAAACUACAAUGGAAAAGUGUUUUUCUAUCCAAACAAAAAGUUGGGGUUUAUGUGUUUUUUACUUUUGACUUUUGCAUUUAAAAAUAAAAAUUAUCAAAAUACUCUUAUUUUUAUAUUAAUUAUUUAAAAAAUAUAUAAAAAUUAAAUUAAAUUAAAUUUUUUGUAUUUUUAUAAUAAAUUAUUUGAAUAUUUCAUAUAUCAUUAUAUUACAUUAUUUAAAUAUAAUAUAUAUCAAUAAAUUUAUAAAUAAUUUAUAUUAAUUAAUUAAAAUUAAUUAAAAUUUAUAUUUUAUGUAUUAUUAUAUUAAAUUAUUUAAAUAUCAUAUAACUUAAAUACAUUUUAAAUUUCUACUAUAUAGCAUUUAAAAAUGACAAUGUAACUUUUAAUCUCAUUUUUUUACAGCAAUAGAGUACUAAAAAUUCAGAAACACACUUUUAAAAACCUCAAUUUUGUUUCUAAAAGCAUUUUUAGAGAACAUUUUUCAACUGUAACAAUAACGAAGGUCUAACCUCGACCCUAAUUUUCAGGUAGGAAAAACCACCAGACAGAGCCUUAGGGGGCAAAAUUCGUUUGAAUUGCUAUGAAAACUUUAGCAUUUUACUCCAUUUUUUUUACGGAAUCGUGAUUUUCUUUUCUUUUUAUUAUUUACUUUGCUUUAUAGCAACUUUGGAGGAACAAAGCUAAUACAGGGGGAAAAAGACGUAAUUACUUGGCAGACAUUAUCUUUUGCGUUUUAUGAACAUUCUUUUCUUUGCUCAAUCAUUUGUGUCUUUAUGUUUUCCAGAGGAUCACCACUCUUUUGGAUUGGAGUAGGCAUUGGGCUCUCAGCACUUUUUACAUGGGUGAGCAAGUGGAUGCUUUUUCUCGGGUGAUAUCUUUAGUAUUAUUGUAUUGAUAAUGGCAAUGGUUUCUUUUUGGUACAUAUUUUGAUGAGACCGUAUGAAAUGACAGGUAGCUUCAAGCUUAAAGGUGAGGGUUUCUCUUAUAUGAGGUAUAGUUGUAUUGCUCUUGCCUGUAAUCUUUACGAUAGAAUCGUUGUUUGAGUUUUGGAAGUAGAAUACUUAAAUAAAGCAAUUAAAAUGGUGACGGGUAAAAUUCCAUUUAAUGUGAAUGCUUUGGAUGUUUUCUAGUUAUUGGAGGUCUUAAUUAUGCUUCUGGUGCCAUUUGAAGAUAGGAAGUUGAUGUCUUCCAUUAGUUUUUCAAGUUUCCCAUAUACUACCUAAAGGUGCUUUCUUUUAUCAGUCAAAACAUUUUUUUGGAGGGUUUAGGUUUAGCUGUUGUCAGAGUCUGUAUGUUUUGGUCUAGAAGACUUUACAUUAUUAUAGUAAAUCAUCCAGCUUGACGGAUUCUUGAAGAAACUGAUGAAAAAAACUAGAAGAGUAAACAAGAAACUUAGAGUGAAAAGAUAUAUAUCUUUGUAAUCAUUCAACCAUACAUCAACACAACUACUUUACUGAAUUUAUAUGUAUCAAUAAAACUGCUCUUCAACUAAUAACUGCGUAAGCUAACUGCUAGCACAUUUAUCACAUGUCUAAUAUUGUUUACAACAAGCACACCAGAUAUAACCACUAUAACUGCUGCAGUUGACUAACUGAACUGACUUCAUACACUAACACAGCUGACCAAAUUUGAACAAAUUUGUUUGGCCAUGUACUUGAUUCUAAUUGUUAUAUAUUAUUUGGAAUUCCAAAAUCCAGGUUAUCAUAGAUAGUGGUAGUUCAAAGCAAAACUGGGGAAUACAAUAUUUUCCUAGGCAGCCUUGAGUUGACCUUCAAAAUUGUGGUUUGAUAUAUUCAAAAUAUUUUUCUUCAUCCAUCCUAGAGGAAGAUGAACCCCUACCUGGUUGGGCCCAAUUUCUGGGGGUUUCAGAGCUGAUAACAAAGUUGUUAAUGGAAAUUAGUUAUCUGGGAUAUAAAAUUGCUAGUCAGUCAGUAAGUUGUGCCUCUUUAUUUAUUUUCCGAUCUUAGUUGAAUGGCGUUGAGAAGCUGACUUAGUGGCACAAAGUUGCCUUGACAUACUGAUUACAGAGACAUGAUUUAUGUCCCCUGUAUUAUGGCACCGAGAAAAAGUAUGUCAAUUUACAAAUGUUGAAAAUAAUAGUAUGAUACUGAAUAUUUUGCUACAUUCAGUUCCUUGUGUCAUAAAGAGGACCAAAGCCCUAUCAUGGCUUGUUAGAUAUGUAACUAUACUGUCUUUCAUGGGCUUCUGUUUUGUAGCUGAGCUGUGUCAUAAUGUAUCUAAAUUAUGGUCCCUCUUUUGGGUAUGCUUAACUUUCUUUAUGAGCUUAAGAUGGUACAAAUGGCAAAACUUUUUAAUGUAACUCUGCUAUUUAGGUCCUGACAUUCCCUGAUACGAGUCUCAAAGGCCCAACCCAAGCCCAAACAAGAAGACAAACCAUGCUUACUUGAAAAUCAGGUCAAAUUGUCAAAGUGACCCAAUUUGUAAAGUUUUAUUUUUCUUUAAUUUUUAGUUUAAAUUUUUAUGUAAAUAUUCAGUCCAAGAGGCCCAAUUAAAAGCCCUUGGCCGAAUUUCCAUUUAAAAUUAAAAUAAUUAGGAGUUUGUUUAGUUUUAGUUUUCUAAUUAGAUUAGGAAAAUAUUUGAAAAGCCUAUAUAAAGGCUUGGCCAGCCACCGUGUUAGAUACUUCUCAAAUAUAUCAAAAAUUUCAGAUUUGUUUAAGUGCAGAAUUCUCUUCGAGUUUUUUCUCCAAGAAUUCUCUCUUGGGUUUUCUUUAGAAGUUGUUUUAACAAUCUUUUGAUUGUGGGAGCCAUCUUCAGCCUUCUUCUUGCCAUUGAUAUUCUUUGGAGGGGGAGAUUAGAGCCGUUUGAAGGGAGUUGUGAGAUCUUUCGGGAUUUCAAGGCUUCUUAGGACUUUUCUUUUAUUUGUUUGCUGUCAAUUUCUUUUCUUUAUUUUUGCUUGUGCCGAAUCUUUAUCUAAUUUAUUUGCUGUUCUUAUUGUGUUUCCAGCCUUUUUCUAUCUUAAAGAAUCGGACAAAAAUCCCCAAUUUCUAGGGUUCUUGCUGAUUCAUUCAUACUCUUUUUGGGUGAAAUUAGAUUGCCGAAAUUUGGAGAAAACUAUCUUGGUGUUCAAUUGGGCAGAAUCGCAAUCUCGUUUAGGGUUUCAAGAACCCUUAUUAACACUUAUUUCUAUUCUCAAUUUGAUUCUUUGCUGACUUGGGGAUUUUAUUUCAGAUCUGGAAAUUCAAAGUUCUAAUCUUUUAAUUUUCUGUUUCGUUUCAGAUCUGAUUGUUUAGGGUUUUCGUAGGAGUUUCCCGUGACUUGGCAACUCGAUUUUGGUCCGCGCGCAAUCCCCGUAUCAUACCCCGUUCUCCUGCUUUUCAACGCACUGAUACAGUUGAUGCACCUGUAAGACAAGUUGAAGCAGCCUCUGUUACCAGCAACGUAAGUGAAAAGUGUGAAAAAUGAAACAGAAAUUGCCGAGCCAAAGAAAUAUGGUAAUAUGGAACAUUUUUUAUUACCCAUAAGAUGUUGUAUAAUGUGCAACUCUUCCUUUUCUGAGGUAAAAAGGAACAUUACAUGGGCAAUUCUUGUAUGUGAGACUUUAGAAAGACUAACAGAUUUUUGUCCUUCCCCUAGAAUAAGGGCUUUACAUUUUAGGUGAUAGUAUAAACUGAUCUCUAGUAUGAACUUAAUUUUCUAGCAUCUUAAAUGAUGGUUUUAGAUUUAGUUAACGACUGGGUUCAUUGUGUUGUUCUGGAAAUUGUUUCUCUAAAAUUGAUGCAGAUUUCUUUUUGCAGCUUUUGUGGAUGUUUCUCCCAAAGAAAAUAUGCACAAGAGUGCUUUUGAAGAUGCAGCUGAGCUAAGUUCACCAAAUUGGGUUCAGUCUUCCAAGGAUGUAAGGUUUUAAAUUUUUUUUUUCUUAUUAAGAAGCUGUGCUAGCAUGGAUAUAUCUUUAGGAGUCUGAAGUAUCUAUUUGGGAAAUUAAUUCUUUUCAAUAUUAUAUGAAGCUUUCUGACAAUGGAGCUGCAUCCAAGCAGGAUGCCGGUGCUUUUCGGGGUUUCCAGGCAAGCGGUAUGAAAAAAGCUAGUUGUGGAGUUUAUGAUUAUUGGAAUGGAAGCAUAGGACAUUUUGGGUUGUAUUUGGCUGUAAUAUCUUUCUGAACAAAACAAUAAAAACAUACAUGGAGAGUUUUGUGUCAAGUGCAACACUCCUAAACCUUGUAAUCUUCUUUGUUUAAAUUUUUGUUGGGACAAUGGGAGGUAAGUAUUUGAACAUAAAAAAAUAUAUAUUCUCUAUCGUAUUAGAGAUCAAUAAUUCUUACCUAAGACAACAAUUUUGGAUAUCAUUGUUUGACUUGUUUGUAUAUUAAAAAAAAGAAACAUUAGUAGGCAGUGUAGGAAUAUAGGAGCAAGCGCUUAAAGUCACUAGAUUGGUCAUGUGUUGAUAUGCAACAGUUUUCUUAGUAAUUAAUGUUAUCUUUUAAAAUAGUCAUCUCCUUAAAACUGCAUUUUGUUGAUGCGUUCAUUGGCAUAGCUAAAUGGUGGUUAAAUAUUUGGUUUAUUACCUCAUUGGCACAGAGGCAUUUCUGUUGCCUUCUUAUCAUGUAUGCGACAGCCCUAAAGUGACCCUAGUCGGAAAGCGGUCUCGGGACCGCUAGACCGAGUCACCAAAUUAUUUGAAUAUGAUAAUUAUUGCCUAAAAUAUGUGAAUAAAAAUGUGUGAAAGUUUUAAGCUUCGAUUUAGUUAAUUGCAUGUGAAUUUAGUUGAUAGGACUUAGAAAAUUUAGAAAUGUGCUAGGCAAAUGCAAGUGGCCUAAUAGUGCAUGUAAUCAAAGGGGUGGACUUGCAUGUCAAUUUCCCCCCAUUUAAGUACUAGUGGCCGGCCAUGACAAGGGAUGAUGGGCAAAACAUGUCAUGAAACAUGUUGUGUUAAUGGAAAAAUAAAAUAAGAAGCAUGGGCAAAACAUGUCAUGAAACAUGUUGUGUUAAUGGAAGAAUAAAAUAAGAAGCAUGGGCAAUAAACUAAUAAGAAAUUGAAGGAAGAAAACAAAGAGAAAAAAAUGUGUUCAUCAUUCUCAUGCAUGACCAAAAAAAAAAGAAGAGAAAAGCUCUCAUGUUGUUCUUGGCCGAAUAGGAGAAAGAAAAAGAAGGAAAAAGAGCUUUGAGGAAAUCGGCUAUGGUGGUUUGAUAGACUAAGGUAUGUUUGAUGAUGUUCCAUGAGAUGCAUGCAUGUUUUAAUAGUUAGCUUGACUUCUAAAUAGCCCAUGGUUCAAAUCUUUACUAUGUCAUGGAGAUGAUAUUCGGCCAAGGUGGAUUGGUGUUGAUAUCAUUUGCAUGCUAAAAGUGAAGCUUUGUAAUGGUGCAUGUGAUGGUGGAUUGAUGAUUCUUGAAUCUUCUUUUUAGCAUUUUUGAGUGAGACAUUAAGUUCUUUGUUUAACCGUGACCAAAAAUUGAAAUGGUAUGGUGUUGUGAUGCAAUCGGCCCCAACAUAGACAUGUAUGUUCGGCCACAUGAAUAAGUACAUAAGUUAUGUGUAUGUUCGGCCAUAGGUAGCCUAUUGAUGGCUUUAGCUUGACUUAGAAAAUUCGGCUAAGGGGAAAUAUUAGCUAGUAUGUUGAAUUCGAUUCGUGAUUUCGUACAUAUGUGACUCUAGUGUCUAAUGUAUAUAUGGGCUAAGUACCUUGAGCUUCUCUUUUGAUGUUCGAAUGAAUUGUAUUAAAUUGCUUGAUGUGAUUAAAAAUGCGUAUGACCAUUGUGUAUUUGAGCUAAAAGGUGGCCAUAUGACCUAUCAAACUCCUUGUCACAUUCGGCCAUAAGCUAGCAAAAUGAAACUUUAAUGAGUUAAAUUUGUUUGAAUUAAGCUCAAGAGCAAAGGGGAACUAAAUCCGAUAAAGGGAAGGAAAAAGUGGUCGAAUAGCCGUCGAAACCGUUCGACAACAUCCGAGGUAAGUUCUUGAGUAAUAGAGCUUAAAUUAUGAUUUGAUUAGAUCAUGUUUUAAGCAAAUCAAAAUCAUGCUCCUUGUGUGUGGCUAUUGAGCCAAAAUUGCAAGAGUGAUAAGUGUCUUGUGUUUGAGUUUUGCUAAUGAAAAUGAAAUACGAAUGUGUCAUGAUUUAUUGUUAAAUGUGCAUGGUUAUUCGAAUGAUGUCCGAGCUAAGUCCCGAAGGCUUUGUGCUAAGUGACCAUAUCCGGACUAAGAUCCGAAGGCAUUUGUGCGAGUUACUAAAUCCGGGUUAAGUCCUGAAGGCAUUUGUGCGAGUUACUAUAACCGGGCUAUGUCCCGAAGGCAUUUGAACGAGUAGCUAUAUCCGGUUAAAUUCCGAAGGUACGUGAUUUGGGAAUGAAUGAUCUUGCUGUAAAAAUUUCAGUUAAUACGCUUGAAACAUCCCAACAUUGAGGUAUGUUUCGUAUGUGCUUUGAAUUAGUUGAGCCCUUACAAAUAAGUAUUCGCUCAGUUGAUAAAUGAGCUACCGGCCUUUGGCUAAGUUGAUCUUUGUGUAUAAAUAAAAGGGUUGGUAAUGUGAAGUAAGUAUGAUAUUGAAAAUUUGUGCAUAUGAAAUUAUCCGUUUAGCUACAUGAAUGCUAUACUUUGGUUGUGUCUAAAUUCUUUGCUCAAAACUUACUAAGCAUUUAAUGCUUACUCCGUUUCUUUGAUUCUCUGUUUUAUAGAUUUUGGUUCUUCAGCUAUCGGACUCGGGAUUUUGAAGUCGAAGUCGCCCACACUAUCAAAGCCCCCUUUUGGUACAAUUUUGGUUGAACUUCGAAAUGGCAUGUAUAGGACUACCCUUUUUGUUGUGGGUCAUGGACCCUUUGGAUUUGUAUAAUUUUGGAUAGCCAUGCGAAAAUGGCUUAUAUAUGUUUGAGCAUAAUGUUAUACUCAUUUGGUAUGGAUAUGCUUAACAAGGAUUGGCCAUGGGAAUGGUUAAUCACUAUCAUAAUUUGUGCUAUUUAUGCUAAAAGGGCUAGUUGAAUCAUGGAAACUAUGAAAUAGGUAAAGUCUACCUUAAAGGCAGAUGCUGACAGCAGCAGUGAUGUAGAUUUGGAAAAUCACUAAAAAUAGUAGGAAUGGAAUUAAAUAGUGAAUAAAUUAUGAAAACGAACCUUGAUGAAUCUAUUUUCAUAGGAAAGUAACGAAACGUUCAUAUGAACAGUAUAUUAUGAGAUGAUAAAGUUUUCGUGAGACAGGGCCAGAACGGUUUCUGGAUUCCCUGUUCCGACUUUGGAUAUUCAUUAUAAAUUAACCAGAGAUAAUUAGAAGUCAUUCCAUAUAUGAAUAGAUUCCUUUUUGAGUCUAGUUUCUAUAGAAACAAACGGCAUCAGUAUUGAAGCCCUGUAAAGAGAGAUAUCCAAGUCGUAAUGCGCAAAGGUCAGUGUAGUCGAUCCCUGUAACAUUGGAGACUUUGACUAAUAAACUGUACUAAUUUGACCGACCAAAAAUUCUAGAAAAAAAUUUGUAGAUGCAUAUAUGAGUCUAGUUUCAGGGAAAAAUCACGAAGCUGAUUUUCGAGUUGUGAAACUCAAGAUAUGAUUUUUAAGGUGACGGUGACGCAGUUAGCCAGCUUGCCUGGAAAAUUUAAAAUGGAUUGUGCAAAGAAGUGAUUUAAGUCUGCAAACCCCUCGUGUCCGACUCCGGCGACGGACUCGGGUACGGGGUGUUACAAUUUUAUUGGUAUCAAAGCUACGGUUUAGUCGAUUCUAGGACUACCGUAAUGCGUUGGGUCUAGCUAUACAUGCCAUUUUAUGUGAUUAUUUGAUAGUGUGGUGAUUUCUGACAUUUGCAAAUGUGUUUAUUUAUAGUAAUGGAUCCCGAUCCCGACCGAGAGGUAGCUGAUGAUCUUGAGAGUGUAGCGCCUGCUCCCGCACAAGGGACAGCACCGGUGGACUCUCAACCUAAUGCUAGUAACCCGAAUGAUGAAGCUAGACAAGCUUUCUAUAGCGUGAUGAAUGAUUGGUUCAACCAAUACAUUCGAACUAAUACGGCUGUUCCACAACCUCCAUUCCCGAAAAAUACCACCCCCGCACCUACCAUACCUCCGGUAACUGACCAAAUAAGGUUAAAUAAGCCCCCAGUUGACAGAAUCCGAAAACACGGGGCUACUGAAUUUAAAGCCACGGACAGCGAUGAUGCCGAGCAAGCGGAAUUUUGGUUGGACAACACUAUCCGGGUACUAGAUGAACUAUCUUGCACACCCGAUGAGUGCCUAAAGUGUACUAUCUCCUUGCUACGUGAUUCUGCCUACUAUUGGUGGAAUACGUUGACUUCUGUUGUGCCUAGAGAACAAGUAACUUGGGAGUUUUUUCAAACCGAGUUUCGAAAGAAGUAUAUCAGUCAGAGAUUCAUUGACCAAAAACGGAAGGAAUUUCUUGAACUCAAACAAGGUUCCAUGUCGGUUACCGGCUAUGAAUAAAAAUUUGUGAGGCUUAGCCGGUACGCACGAGAAAGCAUUUCCUCAGAAGCCGUGAUGUGUAAACGUUUCAAGGAUGGGCUGAAUGACGAUAUAAAGCUGUAUGUAGGCAUUUUGGAAAUCCGAGAAUUUGUGGCACUUGUCGAGCGAGCUUGCAAGGCCGAGGAGCUCAGUAUGGAGGAAAGAAAAGCUAAGGUGGGAGCAAAGGAGUUUCGUAAGAGGUCUUCGUGGAAUCCCUUCCCACAGUCAUCGAAGAAAUUUAAAGAUGGCUUAGGCCGAUCUAGAGACACUUCAGGCUUUUCUAGACGAGAUCGCGAUCGACCCCCUGUGGAUGCACGAGUCACUUCGGUCGCUAGUGUUGGAAAUGAUCGUCGGGACAGAACGGAGUGCCAGUAUUGUGGUAAAUGGCAUUCGGGGAGUUGUAGAUUUCAUGAUCGCUCCUGUUACAAGUGCGGAUCAGCUGACCACUUCAUUAAGGAUUGCCCGAGGUUGUCUGAACAGAAUAUAAAUCAAAGCGAGAAACCGGGUGCUACCACUGUUCGAGGUAGACCAUCUAGAAAUACGGGCAAUGCUAGGGGUGGUCAGAGAGGAUCUAGGGAUGCUACGACCAGAUCCGAGGCUCGCGCUCCUGCUAGGGCUUAUGCUAUACGCGCACGCGAGGAUGCUUCCUCGCCAGAUGUUAUUACCGGUACUUUUACUCUCUUUGAUACUAAUGUGAUUGCUUUGAUUGACCCUGGUUCUACUCAUUCUUAUAUAUGCGAAACCUUAGCAUCCAGUAAGACUUUACCUAUUGAGUCUACUGAGUUCGUAAUUCGGGUGUCAAAUCCCUUGGGUCGUUACGUGCUUGUCGACAAAGUGUGUAAGAAAUGCCCCCUAGUAAUUCGAGAUUCCUGUUUUUCGGCGAACUUGAUGCUUUUGCCGUUUGAUGAAUUUGAUGUUAUUCUUGGUUUGGAUUGGUUGACCGCGCAUGAUGCGGUUGUGAAUUGCAAAAGCAAGACUAUUGAUUUGAGGUGCGCAAAUAACGAGAUAAUCCGAGUUGAGUCUACGGACUUAAGGGGGUUGCCAGCUGUAAUAUCAGCAAUGUUGGCCCAGAAAUAUGUAAGAAAAGGGUGCGAAGCAUACCUUGCGUAUGUACUUGAUGACAAAGAAUUAGAAAAGAAACCCGAAUCUGUGCCGGUGGUUUGUGAAUACCCGGAUGUUUUUCCUGAAGAAUUACCGGGUUUACCACCUGUUCGGGAGGUAGAGUUUGGUAUUGAGCUUGUACCUGGAACUACGCCAAUUUCGAUAGCUCCGUAUCCUAUGGCACCAACUGAGUUAAAAGAAUUGAAAGCUCAGUUGCAAGAGUUGACGGAUAGAGGUUUCGCUCGACCAAGUUUCUCACCUUGGGGUGCACCAGUAUUGUUCGUGAAAAAGAAGGACGGAACGAUGAGGUUGUGCAUUGACUAUCGUCAACUGAAUAAAGUGACGAUAAAGAAUAAAUAUCCGUUAUCGCGUAUUGAUGAUUUGUUUGAUCAACUAAAGGGAGCCUCAGUGUUUUCAAAGAUAGAUUUGAGAUCGGGUUAUUAUCAGUUGCGGAUUCGAGAUUCGGACGUACCCAAAACUGCUUUCAGAACGAGGUACGGUCACUACGAGUUCUUAGUGAUGCCGUUCGGGCUCACUAAUGCCCCUGCGAUAUUUAUGGAUUUGAUGAAUCGGAUCUUCAGACAGUAUUUGGACCGGUUCGUAGUUGUGUUCAUUGAUGACAUCUUGGUCUAUUCAAGAGAUGAGACCGAACAUGCUGAGCACCUGAGACUAGUGUUGCAAAUUUUGCGGGAUAAGCAGUUAUAUGCUAAGUUCAGUAAGUGUGAGUUCUGGUUAAGAGAGGUUAGCUUCUUGGGUCAUGUGGUAUCGCAUCGGGUAUUCGAGUUGACCCGAGCAAAGUUUCAGCCAUACUUAACUGGAAGCCUCCAAGAAAUAUUACCGAAGUUCGGAGCUUCCUGGGGCUCGCCGGUUAUUAUCGACGAUUUGUAAAAGGUUUCUCGAUGAUAGCCACACCAAUGACGAAGCUACUUCAAAAGGAUGUUAAGUUCGAAUGGACGGAGAAAUGUCAGAAAAGUUUCGAUCAACUGAAAACUUAUUUGACUGAAGCUCCAAUUUUAGUGCAACCCGAAUCAGGCAAAGAGUUUGUCAUUUAUAGUGACGCAUCCCUACUUGGGUUGGGUUGCGUAUUGAUGCAAGAAGGUCGAGUUGUGGCCUAUGCGUCGAGACAAUUGAAGCCACACGAGAGAAAUUAUCCGACCCAUGAUCUCGAACUAGCUGCCAUCAUAUUUGCUUUGAAAAUAUGGUGACAUUAUUUGUUUGGUGAGAAGUGCCAUGUAUUUUCGGAUCACAAAAGUCUCAAAUAUUUGAUGACCCAGCGAGACUUGAAUCUGCGACAAAGGCGUUGGCUUGAGUUGUUGAAAGAUUAUGAGCUUGUCAUUAAUUAUCACCCGGGAAAGGCUAAUGUGGUUGCGGACGCCUUAAGCCGGAAAUCACUGUUUGCUUUGCGAGCGAUGAAUGUACACUUGUCUGUUCUACCCGACAAUGUGUUAGUAGCUGAAUUAAAAGCCAAACCAUUAUUGAUUCAUCAAAUUCGUGAAGCUCAGAAAGUCGAUGAUGAAUUGGUUACAAAACGGGCUGAGUGUGUUCCGAACAAGGAAUCGGAGUUUCAAAUUGAUGAUGAUGAUUGUUUGAGGUUCAGAAGUCGUUUGUGUGUUCCAAGGAAUUCGGAACUCAUUUCGAUGAUUCUGAACGAAGCCCAUUGUAGCCGAAUGUCAAUUCACCCGGGGAGUACGAAAAUGUACAACGAUUUGAAACGUCAGUUUUGGUGGCAUGGUAUGAAACGAGACAUCUCUGACUUUGUUUCGAGAUGUUUAAUAUGUCAACAAGUGAAAGCAGAACAUCAAGUGCCUUCAGGAUUACUUCAGCCGAUCAUGGUACCUGAAUGGAAAUGGGAUCGAGUCACGAUGGAUUUCGUAUCUGGGUUGCCAGUAUCGGCAAGUAAGAAAGAUGCGAUUUGGGUUGUUGUGGAUAGACUGACUAAGUCGGCUCACUUUAUCCCCGUACGUAUGGAUUUUUCAUUAGAUAAACUAGCUGAAUUGUAUGUUUCUCAGAUUGUGAGAUUACACGGGGUACCGAUUUCUGUUGUGUCGGAUAGAGAUCCGAGAUUCACCUCGCGAUUUUGGAAGAAAUUGCAAGAAGCUUUGGGUACCAAGCUGCACUUUAGCACCGCUUUUCACCCUCAAACCGAUGGUCAAUCCGAGCGGAUAAUUCAGAUACUUGAGGAUAUGUUGAGAUGUUGCAUCCUCGAGUUCAGCGGUUCAUGGAAACGGUAUUUACCUUUGAUUGAAUUCGCUUACAAUAAUAGUUUUCAAUCAAGUAUUAAGAUGGCACCUUACGAGGCUUUGUACGGGCGUAAAUGCCGCACACCAUUGUUUUGGAUCGAGCUCGGUGAAAGCAAAAUUUUCGGAGUUGAUUUGAUUAAAGAUGCUGAACAGAAAGUAAAGGUAAUCCGUGAAAGUCUGAAGGCAGCCACAGAUCGUCAGAAAUCGUAUGCGGAUUUGAAACGAAAAGACAUUGAAUAUCAGGUGGGAGAUAAAGUGUUUCUUAAAGUUUCGCCUUGGAAAAAGAUACUCAGAUUUGGCCGUAAGGGCAAGUUGAGCCCGAGAUUCAUUGGGCCGUACGAAAUCUCCGAACGAGUUGGUCCGGUUGCGUAUAGAUUGAUUUUGCCCCCUGAACUUGAAAAGAUUCACGAUGUCUUUCAUGUUUCGAUGCUUCGACGUUAUAGAUCCGAUCCGUCACAUGUGAUUAAUCCCUCAGAAGUUGAAAUUCAAUCUGACUUGAGUUAUGAAGAAGAACCGAUUCGUAUCCUAGCUCGUGAAGUGAAAGAGUUGCGAAACAAAAGGGUUCCAUUAGUUAAGGUGUUAUGGCUCAAACACGGGAUCGAGGAAGCUACUUGGGAAACCGAGAGCUCGAUGAAAGAACGAUACCCAAACCUAUUUACCGGUAAGAUUUUCGGGGACGAAAAUUUCUUAAGUGGGGGAGAGUUGGGACAGCCCUAAAGUGACCCUAGUCGGAAAGCGGUCUCGGGACCGCUAGACCGAGUCACCAAAUUAUUUGAAUGUGAUAAUUAUUGCCUAAAAUAUGUGAAUAAAAAUGUGUGAAAGUUUUAAGCUUCGAUUUAGUUAAUUGCAUGUGAAUUUAGUUGAUAGGACUUAUGUGAGAAAAUUUAGAAAUGUGCUAGGCAAAUGCAAGUGGCCUAAUAGUGCAUGUAAUCAAAGGGGUGGACUUGCAUGUCAAUUUCCCCCCAUUUAAGUACUAAUGGCCGGCCAUGACAAGGGAUGAUGGGCAAAACAUGUCAUGAAACAUGUUGUGUUAAUGGAAAAAUAAAAUAAGAAGCAUGGGCAAAACAUGUCAUGAAACAUGUUGUGUUAAUGGAAGAAUAAAAUAAGAAGCAUGGGCAAUAAACUAAUAAGAAAUUGAAGGAAGAAAACAAAGAGAAAAAAAUGUGUUCAUCAUUCUCAUGCAUGACCAAAAAAAAGAAGAAGAGAAAAGCUCUCAUGUUGUUCUUGGCCGAAUAGGAGAAAGAAAAAGAAGGAAAAAGAGCUUUGAGGAAAUCGGCUAUGGUGGUUUGAUAGACUAAGGUAUGUUUGAUGAUGUUCCAUGAGAUGCAUGCAUGUUUUAGUAGUUAGCUUGACUUCUAAAUAGCCCAUGGUUCAAAUCUUUACUAUGUCAUGGAGAUAAUAUUCGGCCAAGGUGGAUUGGUGUUGAUAUCAUUUGCAUGCUAAAAGUGAAGCUUUGUAAUGGUGCAUGUGAUGGUGGAUUGAUGAUUCUUGAAUCUUCUUUUUAGCAUUUUUGAGUGAGACAUUAAGUUCUUUGUUUAACCGUGACCAAAAAUUGAAAUGGUAUGGUGUUGUGAUGCAAUCGGCCCCAACAUAGACAUGUAUGUUCGGCCACAUGAAUAAGUACAUAAGUUAUGUGUAUGUUCGGCCAUAGGUAGCCUAUUGAUGGCUUUAGCUUGACUUAGAAAAUUCGGCUAAGGGGAAAUAUUAGCUAGUAUGUUGAAUUCGAUUCGUGAUUUCGUACAUAUGUGACUCUAGUGUCUAAUGUAUAUAUGGGCUAAGUACCUUGAGCUUCUCUUUUGAUGUUCGAAUGAAUUGUAUUAAAUUGCUUGAUGUGAUUAAAAAUGCGUAUGACCAUUGUGUAUUUGAGCUAAAAGGUGGCCAUAUGACCUAUCAAACUCCUUGUCAUAUCCGGCCAUAAGCUAGCAAAAUGAAACUUUAAUGAGUUAAAUUUGUUUGAAUUAAGCUCAAGAGCAAAGGGGAACUAAAUCCGAUAAAUGGAAGGAAAAAGUGGUCGAAUAGCCGUCGAAACCGUUCGACAACAUCCGAGGUAAGUUCUUGAGUAAUAGAGCUUAAAUUAUGAUUUGAUUAGAUCAUGUUUUAAGCAAAUCAAAAUCAUGCUCCUUGUGUGUGGCUAUUGAGCCGAAAUUGCAAGAGUGAUAAGUGUCUUGUGUUUGAGUUUUGCUAAUGAAAAUGAAAUACGAAUGUGUCAUGAUUUAUUGUUAAAUGUGCAUGGUUAUUCGAAUGAUGUCCGGGCUAAGUCCCGAAGGCUUUGUGCUAAGUGACCAUAUCCGGACUAAGAUCCGAAGGCAUUUGUGCGAGUUACUAAAUCCGGGUUAAGUCCUGAAGGCAUUUGUGCGAGUUACUAUAACCGGGCUAUGUCCCGAAGGCAUUUGAACGAGUAGCUAUAUCCGGUUAAAUUCCGAAGGUACGUGAUUUGGGAAUGAAUGAUCUUGCUGUAAAAAUUUCAGUUAAUACGCUUGAAACAUCCCAACAUUGAGAUAUGUUUCGUAUGUGCUUUGAAUUAGUUGAGCCCUUACAAAUAAGUAUUCGCUCAGUUGAUAAAUGAGCUACCGGCCUUUGGCUAAGUUGAUCUUUGUGUAUGAAGAAAAGGGUUGGUAAUGUGAAGUAAGUAUGAUAUUGAAAAUUUGUGCAUAUGAAAUUAUCUGUUUAGCUACAUGAAUGCUAUACUUUGGUUGUGUCUAAAUUCUUUGCUCAAAACUUACUAAGCAUUUAAUGCUUACUCCGUUUCUUUGAUUCUCUGUUUUAUAGAUUUUGGUUCUUCAGCUAUCGGACUCGGGAUUUUGAAGUCGAAGUCGCCCACACUAUCAAAGCCCCCUUUUGGUACAAUUUUGGUUGAACUUCGAAAUGGCAUGUAUAGGACUACCCUUUUUGUUGUGGGUCAUGGACCCUUUGGAUUUGUAUAAUUUUGGAUAGUCAUGCGAAAAUGGCUUAUAUAUGUUUGAGCAUAAUGUUAUACUCAUUUGGUAUGGAUAUGCUUAACAAGGAUUGGCCAUGGGAAUGGUUAAUCACUAUCAUAAUUUGUGCUAUUUAUGCUAAAAGGGCUAGUUGAAUCAUGGAAACUAUGAAAUAGGUAAAGUCUACCUUAAAGGCAGAUGCUGACAGCAGCAGUGAUGUAGAUUUGGAAAAUCACUAAAAAUAUUAGGAAUUAAAUUAAAUAGUGAAUAAAUUAUGCAAACGAACCUUGAUGAAUCUAUUUUCAUAGGAAAGUAACGAAACGUUCAUAGGAACAGUAUAUUAUGAGAUGCUAAAGUUUUCGUGAGACAGGGCCAGAACGGUUUUUGGAUUCCCUGUUCCGACUUUGGAAAUUCAUUAUAAAUUAACCAGAGAUAAUUAGAAGUCUUGCCAUAUAUGAAUAGAUUCCUUUUUGAGUAUAGUUUCUAUAGAAACAAACGGCAUCAGUAUUGAAGCCCUGUAAAGGGAGAUAUCCAAGUCGUAAUGCGCAAAGGUCAGUGUAGUCGAUCCCUGUAACAUGGGAGACUUUGACUAAUAAACUGUACUAAUUGGCCCGACCAAAAAUUCUAGAAAAAAAUUUGUAGAUGCAUAUAUGAGUCUAGUUUCAGGGAAAAAUCACGAAGCUGAUUUUCGAGUUGUGAAACUCAAGAUAUGAUUUUUAAGGUGACAGUGAUACAGUUAGCCAGCUUGUCUAAGUCUGCAAACCCCUCGUGUCCGACUCCGGUGAGGGACUCGGGUACGGGGUGUUACAUGUACCAUUUUCUUGCUAUACUGUUCAAGAUUAUAUAUAUGGGGCCUCUUUGUCUCUAGUUUAGUUGUAUUCAUUAUUGACUUAAUUAUGCACCUGCAUAUUUUUUACAUGCUUUCUAGUUUCUUUCAUGCUCUAUGAGUAAUACUUAAGCAAACAUUAUAUUUCAUUUGCAGGAGGAGCAGAUCCUACCUUAUCUGUGGAUGCUUUAGAGAAAAUGCUGGAAGAUCCAACAGUGCAGAAGAUGGUUUAUCCGUAAUAUAGCUUCUUUUCCUUGAAUAUUCUUUUCCUGAAGUUUUUUUAAAUUGAUUUCAUCUUAGUGUGCCCUGAGGGGUGGUGGAAAUUUGUGCUCCUGCCUGAAAUGUGCAUUAUAUAAUACUUAUUCUUUGGAAUAGUUACCUAACACAAGGCCUGUCAAAUUAUUUCUUACAUCUUUCCUUGUACAAUAUGUUUUAGGCAUCUCAAUGUUUUUGAUGAAUAAACAUGAUAUUGCUGCUUUUAUCAACAUACUAGUUAACUAGUCCUGCUCUUUUGUCCCUACACCCUUUACGCCCCUUAAUGAUUUUAAUGCCUAUUUACCCUAGUGUACUGAACUGUGGAUGUUGCUGGUUAAAACUGAGUUAUCUUCUUUGUUGCCUCUUCUUUUCUUUUCUUUUUCCAGCAACAUUCUAACAUUCAGAGCUUAAGCAAAAACCUUUUUUCAUCAAUGCGACCAUUGUCAUUUCUCCUAAAUCUUGUGGACCUUGCCCAAGAUGUUAGUGAUUGAAAGCUGGCAUCAGAUCUACCGUUAGUCAUUUCUCCUCAUCUUUUUUGUGAACCUUGCUUAUGAAGUCGGUGAUUGAGAGCUAACAUCAGCUAUCUCCUAUUAGUGCUUUUGGAAAAUGAGAUCCUUGCAAGUUACAUUGAAGGCAAAGAUAGUAGACUUCCAUAUAUUACAUGAACGUUCACCAGGAUAAGCCAUGGUAAUAAGUUAAGUUGGCUAAAAAAAUCCCUCAAAAAACUUUGAAGGUGUAAAUUAUAUUAUAAAGCCUUUUCCAGAUUUUCACAUCUGGAAGUCAUUUGUCAAUUUGAAAUUAGAGGUCAGUUGUGGUAGAAGCUGUCUGGUUAUGGUUAGGUUGUUAGAACUUAAAAGAGAGAAAAGGGAGGGGAGUGCUUGGAUGGGAUCUUUCUUUAGUAGAUAUUUGUCAAUAAACUGAAUUAACCUUUCAUUGCAAUCUUUGUUUUAUCUAGUGAAAGGAAAUUUAAUCUUUUAUUUAUCCGUACAGGUAUUUACCUGAGGAAAUGAGGAACCCUGAGACUUUUAAAUGUAAGUCCACACUUUGGAUAACACUGCUCUCCUCUGUUUUUCUGUUCUUUCUUUUUGGCUGAGGGCGAUGGUUAGCAAGGAGUAGGGAAGGUAGGUUUUUAUGGUCUCUGUAAAAUAUAUCAUAUGUUAAAAUCAUAGGUGACAUAUCUUUUUUCUGGUUAAGGAGUUAAUGCCUUUACUUGUUCUAUGAAGUUUCAGUUUUAAUUAAUUUCAUUUUUAAGUUUCUGUAUCCUGAAAAAACUUGUUUCGUUUCCCAGGCAAAUUUAGUAGAACUAUUUGUUUGCAAAUUUCUUUGGUCUUUUGAUGAAUAAACUCUGCUGCAAUUUUAUGGAUAUCAUUUUAUAUAUUCCAAUUUUCUUACUGUCGUGCAUAUUUUUCUAUUAGGGAUGCUACAAAAUCCUCAGUACCGUCAACAACUGCAAGACAUGCUGUUAGCUUCCUACUGACCUUCUGCAUUUGAUUACUUUUAGGGGUUUUCCUUUCUCUUGAUUUACACUUGUCACAAGCACUGUCCCCAAAGAGAAUUUAUUGUUGCUUGCUUCUUGUCUAGUUCUAUUACAGUUGUCUUGCUCACUAUUGUAUCUGGACUUUUUAAUGUAUGAUUCCUGUUCUUCUUUUCUUCUUACAGAUUGUUUGAAUGGAGAGUUGGAAUAUGAUGAAAUUAGAAAUGAAUACUCUAAUAUAUUGAGGAAAAAUUCACUCGGAACUAUUAUUUCUCAAAAAUAUUUAUAGAUAUAUACAUGAAGCACUGAAUCAUGUAAGGAAAGAACAUCUCUAAUUAGAAUCUCUAAAAAUCAGCUAUAAUCCCUAAGCACCCCCCCUAAGGUUGGUGGUGCAUAGAUGUCUCGCAUGCCCACAUUGCAAAGAAGAUUAUGAUAAGUCUUACAGUUGAGCUCUUUAGUAAAAACAUCAGCCAACUGUCUUUAGGAUGCUAGAUAACAUAGCUUAAGACACUACUGGCUACUUUUUCCUUGAUAAAAUGACUAUCUAUUUCGAUGUGCUUGGUCCUAUCAUGUUGCAUUGGAUUUUGAGCUAUGUUGAUGGUUGCUUUGUUAUCACAGUAUAAGGUUGAUCCAUUUUCAUUCAACAACUUUAGCUAUUCCAAUACCUUUUGCAGCCAUAAAAGCUCACAAACACUUUGAUUCAUGGCCCUAUAUUCAGCCUCUGCACUUGAUCGAGUAAUAACACUUUGUUUCUUACUCCUCCAAGUGACUAAGGGCACAUUUGGUUCACUGUAUUGGAUUAGAGGUGUAAUGGAAUAGAGGUGUAAUAGAAUAGAGGUGUAAUAGCAAAUCAACUGUUUGGUUGAAUGUAAUGGAAUAGAGGCGUAAUAGUAAUCUUGUGUUUGGUUGAAUGGAAUAGAGGUGUAAUAGCAUAAUGGAAAAAACUAAAAUGACUAGAAUACCCUUAGCAUAAAUUUAUUUUGGUAAAUGAUUAUUGUUAUUGUUAUUUAAAGUUUAAUAAGAUUAUUAUUAUCAAUAAUAAAUAAUUUAAUCAUAUUUAAACAUAAUUAUUAUUAAAUAUAUUAAAUAUAUUAUAAUUAAAAUAUAUAAUUUAAUAAAAUUCUUAAUAAUCAAUAUUCUUAUAUGAAUUUAUAUACUCAUUUCCUUUUAUAUAUUAAUAUACCACAUUAACCGGUUUAUAUUUAUAUCAAUGGCACAAAAAAUUUGGGAGAAGAUUUUUGAGGACUGCUUUUGUUUGCAAAUAACAUCAUUCAUUCUGUAGGGAAAAAAUUAUGCAUGAGCCUGCUUAUUGAUUACUUUUUUUAUUUUGUACUGAAGUAGUUGCCACUGGUUCAAAAGUCGAUAUAUAUGUAAUAUUAUUAAAAUAAUAUUUUUAUUUUAAUUAUUUAAAAAUAUUUUUAAUUAAUGCAGUGUAUAUGAAUAUACACAUUUAAUUAGUUUUAUUUUUAAUAAAAUUUUUCUAAUUUAUUCAUUCAAUUUUAAUCACCUUACAAUUUAUUGUAUUAUAUCUACUGAUCCAAUUUUAAUAUAUUGAAUAUUUGUUUUUUAAUCAAGUUCUUUACUUGAUUAUAUCUAAUGUUCCAAUUUUAAAAAAUUCGAUUAAAAUUUUCGAACUACAUCAACUUAAGAAAUUCGAUCCCAAAUUCAAAUUAAAUAUACCAAUAAAAAUCAACUUACUACAUCACCACUUGCAAAAUAUAACUCUCCAAACAUUACUAUGGAGUAAACAAAAAAAAAAACUGAACAUAUAUAUGUCUUACAAUUUUUCUUUAGUUUAGAAGGUUUGAUAAGUUACCAAACCUCUUGAAUUGCAACUACAGCUUCAGCUUGCCAACGAUUUAUGUCUGGAGCAAAUCGGUAGCUAACAGUCCAAUACCUACAAAAUUCCACAUAGAACAUCAAUUUACUGGAACAACAGUGGUCAGAAUAAUAAUAUAUGACUUAUGUAACUAUUACACAAGUAAUGGUACUAUGACUUGAGAACAAUUCAGGGACAACAUGAAACUGAAAAAAGAUCAUCAAUACAAACUACUACAGCAGCAAUAAAAUUAUUAUUGCAAUUCCACCCAAAGUAUAUGGACGACAUCCCAUUGCCUCAGCACUAACAUAGCACAUUAUUUUUCUUAAUUGAACAAUUGGGCAAUAAACUGAUUUAAACAACAAAGUUGAGUUAGUAAAGGAAGAUAUGGCAGCUAUUAAAAAAACAUAUCUUACAUCUAGAUCAUACUUUUUAAAACAAUCUUCACAUAGUGCCCUAUCAUAUGUCCUCUUUGUUUUAUUUAUUUUCCACAUUAGCAUGUUGCAUCAAAGCUGGACAUUGACAACAAAUAUGCCCCUCACUAUAAUCACUAAGGAGGAAAUAUUUAUAUUGGUAGACAGUGUCAUACUGGUUGGAAAACUACUGGUUUUUUGUUGAGUUAGGAGCUCUGUCAAUGGAAGAAACAAAUGUAUAAUGAUUUGGUACCGGAAGAGACAACCGAAGCAAUGAGCCCAAUGAAGUUAAACAUAAUUUCAAAUAACUUCAGAGGGUUCUAGCAAGCAGUGAAAGAUUUUAUAGGUUCUGGAAAACAAAUGCAAAUCGAAACUCAAUCAUUCGGUUAGUUGAUUGUGUGGUUCUGUUUUGGUUUUAGAAGUGUUCAAACCAUCGUGAGGCAAUCUUAAUGUAGAAGACAUGAAAUAUUAUAGUUUGUGCGGAAAUGUGCAUAAAAUAUUGUGUAUUGUUGUUGUAUUUGAUUGUGGAGCAUAUGCACAGUAAUCCCAGAAUUUGUAAUUGAUAACUCAAGGAAUAGAUAUGAUUCUGCAUUUACCUGUUACAAAAUGGUUAAGUUGAUGUUUAUCGAUGCUUAAUGUAGGCUAGCAAGCAGGUUGAGGACGCUCCCAAGAAGAUAAUCAGAGUUCAAAAGCGAUGUUGGAGAUCCAUACCACAUUUGUCGAAGCCAGGAGAAACAACUUCGAACUUGAUGAAACCAAACAGAAAAUCCCCACAGCCUGAAAUAGUGGAUGGUAACAACAUGCUAUUGUAUUCUCCCUAACUCAUUCCUUAAAUAUAAAUAGGUUUGUGCAAGCAGGGUAAACCGAAUAGCUUGCAUAGGCAACUCUAGUUUGCAAAUCCAAUGAAAAUAGUUGAUGAUAAGUGAGAUAUCAAACGAAAAGCUUUUGAUAUGAUAACAAAAAGAAGUAAUUCAGAUUGAGCUAAUGACCACAUGAUAGUCUUAAGAUGUGGAAGAUAGAUGGUAGGAAAUCAUUUUCACUCGCUCUCUUCUGAAUCAUCACCACUACUGUCUUGUGAAUCAAUUUUCAAAGCCUUCACAGCAUUGCUUGCUUUAAAAUGUUCAACAGCCUUGUCAAAAGUGCACCUCACAUGCCUACACAUCAACAUCAGAUUUUGACAUGCAUCUUUCAAUACCUCUCUUGCUGGAUCACCUGUAAAUUUUCACAUAGAACAACUAAAGGAACUUGAACCCAACCAAAGUACUUGAAAAAGAGUGUUAUAUUGAGUUUACCAGUGGUUUGAACUCUAAUAUUAACUUGAGCCUCUGAAGGAUGAGGAAUACUGUAGCCACAGAAUGUAACCCUUGGGCUGCACAACAUAAAAAGGAUAGCUUCCACUUUCAAUACAAUCACUUAAAACAAAGAAAACCCAGCAUGAAUCAAAGCCAAAAACAGAGGUGAAUGAACUGACUCUUGAUUCAAAGUGAAUCUAACAGCAUUAGCUAUGGUAUGAUCCUUAUCAGUUAAAGAAAAAGUGGCAGCACUAUUAUCAGUGAAAGACCCGUGUUCCAUUGUUUCCUUUAAUCCAAUUUCUAAAUCUCCAAACCAAGAAACAAAACUAUUAAAAGGAUGAAAUUGAAUCCAAUAAUCAUUGGGAAAACAUAUUUUUAAAUACAAAAUAAGGUUGUAUCUUCCUUACCGGUUCCAAUGGACAGGACACAGUUUCACCGAUGGAGAGGAACGGAAAACGUGAGAAAGUGGCUCCUUUCUGAUCGGUGUUCGAAGUCCAGUUGUGACGCCAAAGAGAGGUAAGACAGAAAGGUAGAAGCGUGAAUCGGUGGAGAUAGAAAGGUAAGACAGAAAGGUGAUGAGAGUGGAGAAGAAAGGUAGAAGGAAGAAACAGAAGACAGUGGAUUUUGGGCAAGACAAAAGCGUGAAUCAGGAGGGUAAAAUAGGGACCAAAACUCAAUCCGGACCUAAACUGAGCACAAGGAAGGGAUUAGAAAUCGGUGGAAUUUGGGGAUUAGAUCAGUAAUUUAAUAGACCCGUAUUAGGCUAAUACACCCAACCAAACAAUGUAUUGAGUGGGGCCCACAAUUAGGGGUGUAAUGGCUAUGCCAAUACACCCAACCAAACAUGGUGUUAGGAUAUACGGAACUGAUACAGAGGUGCAUUAUUAUGCACUAUUAAACAGAAAGCACUAAAGUAUUAUACAGAGAACAUAAAUGUGCUAAUAAUUAGAGAGCACUUAAUAUCCUAAUAGUUCUAAUCUCGUCUACUUGGGUAAGUUAUUUAAUUCUUGUACCACUAAUCUAUAUAUUUAUAUCUUCUCCACCUUUAAUACAUGUAUUAUAUUUCAAAAUUCAUUAUUCAUCCAUAAUUUUCUAGUAAUCCAUAUCAUGUACUUCAUAUAUCACGUUUACAUGUUUUGCAAUUUAGUCAUCAGCACAAUAUUUCUUGUAGCAAAAUAAUACACUUUCUAAAUAUGCAUGCAAAAUAGAAUAAUAACCGGUCAUAAACCGACCAGACCAACAGGGCUUUCGUCUAACAUUAUAAUUAGCUAACAUUCUCUCAACAUAAGAACUCUAUCAGAACUGAACAAUUACACAUACAUAUCUCUGAGAAUAAAAGAAUAUAUAUAAUAUCAAGAAAAGAUCAUCAUGUUCAUUUCGACUGUAACCUUCACACACAGACAUCUUUACCACUUAAUUAUCAUUUCUCUGACUAAUUCUGUUAUCACACUUUAUUCCAUUCACUAAAAAAAACUUUAAAUUAACACAUACAUUCUUUUAAGUAUCAUACCUCAAUAUUUUGUCUCAUAAAAUUUAACUUCUUCUUUAUUUACUCUCUCACUUGUUUACUUACUUGCUUGCUUAAACAACUCAUGAUUAUAACUUACUCCUUCCUUAUUCAAAUUCUUUUCUUAACUGAUAACUAAAAUAUUCUUAACCCUUAUACUCACCUAAAUCUAUUUAUCAUACCUUUACCUGAACUUUCAUGUAACAUAAUUUCUUUACUAGCCGUUGAAUUACUUGAAAUACUAAAGAUACUCAAGUCUCUUAUCUGAAUAUAACAUGCCAAAGCUUUGUCCCAGAUAUAGUCUUACAUGGGAUGUUUCCUAUACUGCCAAUUCCAUAUCCCAAGUAUGGUUUUACAUGAGAGUUCUCAUAUCGGUGCCCAUGCCAUGUCCCAGACAUGGUCUUAUGGGGGACCUCUCAUCUCGGUGCCAACGCCAUGUCCCAAACAUGGUCUUACAUGGGACCUCUCAUCUCGGUGUCAACGCCAUGUCCCAGACAUGGUCUUACAUGGGACCUCUCAUCUCAGUGCCAACGACAUGUCCCAAACAUGGUCUUACAUGGUAGUUCUCAUAUCAGUGCCCAUGCCAUGUCCCAGACAUGGUCUUAUGGGGGACCUCUCAUCUCGGUGCCAACGCCAUGUCCCAGACAUGGUCUUACAUGGGACCUCUCAUCUCGGUGUCAACGUCAUGUCCCAGACAUGGUCUUACAUGGGAUCUCUCAUCUCAGUGCCAACGUCAUGUCCCAAACAUGGUCUUACAUGGUAGUUCUCAUAUCGGUGCCCAUGCCAUGUCCCAGACAUGGUCUUAUGGGGGACCUCUCAUCUCGGUGCCAACGCCAUGUCCCAGACAUGGUCUUACAUGGGACCUCUCAUCUCAGUGCCAACGCCAUGUCCCAAAUAUGGUCUUACAUGGGACCUCUCAUCGGACCUCUCAUCUUGGUGCCAACGCCAUGUUCCAGACAUGGUCUUACAUGAGACCUCUCAUCUUGGUGCCAACGCCAUAUCCCAGACAUGGUCUUACAUGAGACCUCUCAUAAUUUCAAUAAUGCCAAUGUCAUGUCCCAGACAUGGUCUUACACUGGCUCACAUAUCGAUGUCGAUGUCAUGUCCCAGACAUGGUCUUAUACGAGAUCGCACGUUGAUGCUAUAUCCCAGAUAUGGUCUUAUACGAAAAUUACAUAUCAGAUGUUGCCACGGUCCAACCAUGGUCAUUUCUGUCAAUUCAUUACAUAUCACUGAACAAAAGUACUCAUUCCUAUGUUUUACUCAAUUUGAUCUUUCAAUUCAAUUUUCAUACUAUUAUAAUAUUCAUGGUUCAAUAGCAAAGACAUAAAACAAACAUCAUAUUAUUUCUAAUUUAACAAUUAAACAUAAGAUUCUAUCAUAUAAACAUACUGAUUACACUUAUUCAAGCAAGUGUACGUAAACAUACAUUCCAUCUAUUUGUGUAUAUUUACUUACCUUAUUUACUUAAUCAAAUAUGUUGAGCACAUAACAUCAUAUGCGCGCCAAGCAAACGCAGAUGAGCAUAUCACCAUAUAAACUUUCAUUUUAUUCUACGUUUCUACAUUUCUCAACUCAUGGUUGUGUUACUUCAUACGUUAACACAUACUCAUCAUGAAUUUUCUAUUCAUAUCUUUCUAAAUUCCGUUUCAUCAUAAACAUAUUUCAAUUACCUCAACAUCAAUUUUUUUUAGCAUUAUUGGAAACAACUCGGAUAGAAGUCAUCUUUGUCUUACAAAACAAUUUCAUUGGAGUUGAAAGAUAUUAAAUUAUCACGAGUAAUAAUAUGGCAUGUAUAACUAAACUUACAUACGCUAUGUUAGUUCGAGAACCGACUAAACCAUAGCUUUGAUACCACUAAAGUAACACCCCAAACCCGAUCUAAACGUUAUGACCGAAUCUGGCGAUGUCACAUUUUAACACCCCUUACCCGUAUUCGACGCUCAAAUAAGGUACGAGGCAUUACUAGAAGACAUACAUUUGCAUAUGUAUUAAACCGAGUUACAACAUUUCAUCCGAAUUAAAACUUUUAAAUUAUUAACGUGCUUUUAUAAUUCUUUACAACAUAUCCUCGAAAUAUUAUAUUCAUAACAAAUAGGGCCUACGAGACCCGAUAUUUACUCAUGUAAUUCAAAGCUUCAUUUCCAUUUCAUUCAAUUUACAAUUUCUCAUGUUCACAAUUCAAAUCAAUUUCUCAAUCCAAUAUUUAUAUUUAAAUCAUCAAGAAUAUAAUUCAAGUUACACGAACUUACCAGGCUAAAUUGCAGAAAUACCAACCUCAAAUUUUCACCCAAUCUUGAUAUAAAUUAAUAUUUCAUUCAAUUUAUUAAUUUAAAUAAUAAAACAAUUCAUUUCAUACAAUUUGGUCACUUUUUGACAUUUUUACCAAUUUACCCUUAACAUACUACUUUUAUUCAAUUUAGUCCUUGAACCUAAAACAUUCAAAUUGGUCAUUUUUAAUGAGAACUCAUGCUAUUUGAAUAAUCAUUUCUUUUCCUCCUCCUCUGCAUUCCACAUCCUUAAUGUAUAAUAUGCUUAUAUGUAACAUUAUUUAUAAUUCCACCAUUUAUUUAUAUAUUAAUUCAAAGCUGUCCACUUGAGUCAUAGUCACUAAAUUAUUUAUAUCUUUAGCUACGGAACUCCAAAUUAAGCUCCGCUAAAUUCCUAUGAAACUAGACUCACAUAUAUUCUUACCAUAAGAUUUUUAUAAUUUUUUGUUUGGCCAAUAAGUACAGUUUAUUCUAUAAAGUUUCCCCUGUUUCACUGUUUGACAGUUCCGACCCCUCUUCACUAAAAAUUAAUUAUCUCUUUGUACAGAAUUUGGAUGAUGUUUCUGUUUAUUUCUAUUGAAAAUAGACUCAUUCAAGAUUUUUAACAUAUAAAUUUAAGCCUCUAAUUUUUUUUGUUAAAUUUUUUAUGAUUCUCCAAAGUCAAAACAGGGGAACCCGAAUUCAUUCUGACCUUGUCUCACAAAAUUUAUUAUAUCUCAUGAUUUACAAUUCCAUUGCUUAAACCAUUUCUUCUAUGAGAAACUAGAUUUAAUAAGAUUUAAUUCCAUAUUUUUCUCAUCCUCUAAUUCGAUUUCCACAAUUUACGGUGAGGUUUAAAAUUUAACCUAUUGCUGCUAUCCAAAACUGUUUUAAUGCAAGAUAUUGAUUACUAAGUUUAUAACUCCCUAAUUCCCUUUCUCUAUAAUAUUUCCCACAAUUUUCACUUAUUUCCCUUCACUAAUAUAUCAAGAACAUAAGACUUUAUUUAAGAAAACUCGACUAUAACAUCAUUUCCAUGCUUUUUCAACAAUAACAAACUUAAAAAUAUAUUGAAAUCUUGAUGUUCUUACCUUGUGCUAUUGAUUUCAAUCUUUAACUUGAUUUUCUCUCUCCUCCAGCUUCUAUUUCUUGAAUCUAACUUGACAUUAUAGCUCCCCAUUGUCUCCUUAUUAUUUUUCUCUCUUGGAAGCUAUGGAAAUUCUUUUCAUUUCUAGGUGAAAAUAGUGAAUUUUUGGUGAAAGGACCAAAUUGUAAAGAAAGCAAAACUUUCUUUCUUCUCUUCUCUUCUAACGUUGGUUGCAUGGAAAGAUGAUAAUUUUUUCAUCAUCCUUCCUCCUUUUUAUAUUAAUCAUCUAAUAAUAAAAUAAUACCAAAGAUAUUAAUAAAAUAUUAAUUAAAUAACAUUUAUCUAAUUAAUUAAUUAAAAAUAUCACAAACAUCAUCAUUACCUUUUAGAAUUCUCUCUCUAUUUGACCAUUUUGCCCUUUAUAAUCUUUUGAAAUUCCAUCCUUGAGUCAUCACUUAAUUUGAUAAAAUUGUAAUUUGGUCACUCAAAAUUCUUCACCUUUUUAAUUUGGUCCUAAUUCAUCCAUUUUCUGUAGUUUCUAGAUUAUUCCACCCUUAAAAUAGUUACACUAUUAGUCCUUAAAAUUUUUCAUAUUUACACUUUAACCCCACAAAUUUUGAUUAUUUACUCUUGGGCAACAAAACUUUUCCCACUUUUCAAUUUAAUCCUUUCUUGAAUUAAUAUGUCAUAAUAUACUUCCCGAUGUUGACAUAACUCAAUAUUACCCUUUUUAUCACUUUAUUUCCUUAUUUUACUAUAUCAAGGAUAUUAUCUUACUUUCUUACUGUAGUGAUUUUCAGGGUAUUACAAAACUCAAAUGCAUUUAACUCAAAUUACCUUUCAAAUGAAUGACCCACACUAAUUAAAACAACUAAGUCAAUUUUAUCUAUCGAAUAAUAACAUUUCAAAAUAAUCCUUUGUUCUUGUUGUCAAGACAACCCAGACAUUCAAUCUAUCAUAAUUCCCUCAUAAAACCAAUCAAAAAUCUCAACAAAUUGCCUUAAGUCAAACGAAACAUAACAUCUCGUUUUAACUCGUUGACAUAAAUUUAGAUUACCUGAGGAAUGAGAACCGAUAUACAAGUUUAAGCUCGAUCUUCCACCAUUCUACACUUUUGUUGUUGACUAUCCUUUCAUGAAAGCUAGAAAUGAGAUGUAUAAUAAAACUAUUUCAACUAAUAACAUCGAAACUUUAAAUCACACAAAAUCCGCCACCAUCGGAUGAAUUAAAAGCACAGUGCUAUAAUGAAAUCGGCCUUGCAAUUGUAUAGAUAAAACAAUACCUCAAAUAUCAAUAGUGUAAUUCGAGACCAAAGAGAAAAAACCAAAUGUAGUCCCAAUAACAACUAGUGUAGUAAUACCACCUCUAUAAUCUGAGUUCUAUAACAUCGUUCUCCCAUUAUCAAAUUAGGAAUUAUAACUAUAAUAGAUGUUUUUAUCUCCAGCAAUGAAUAUCCCUUACAGAUGAACCAUUUUUAGUAGAUUAAACAAUAAGAAUGAGAAGAAAAACAAGAUAACGAAAUCCAAGAUGUGGAGCUCUACUGAAUCUCUGAGAAUACAACCCAUAUUGAAUGAUAAAGUGAUUUAUGAUACCCUAGAGAAAAUCUAGAAGAAGAAUAUAGCUCAUAUGCACUGGAACCAGUUGUGACAGACACAACAUAAUAGAAUCUUCUACCGAACAUAAUAAAAUAGAAUGCCAAAGAAAGAUAGAGCAAUACCGAUUAGCUAUAAUCUUCUACCGAACAUAAUAUAAUAGAAUCACAUCCGAAAAUGAACAAUUGAAUAUACCUCUAAGGAUAAAAGAACAUAUAAAAUACCUAGAAGAGAUCGUCAUAAGUUACUCGACUAUAAUCGCUACAUUCAAAUAUCUUUACAAUUCAAACAUUAUCCCACUGACUACUAAAUUCAUCGAUAAUCUCACAUUAACCCGUUUCACUAAUGAAAUCAAUUCAUAAGAAAUUUGUGUUAAUUUGUUCUUUAGAUACCAUACCUGAAUAAAUCAAUUACCUGUGAAUAACCUCUUCUUUAACAGCGACAUUGCGUACCCCGAGUGAUCUUCAAAAGAAUUGAUACCCUUUUUAAAGCUCUCUUUACUUGCUAACCUGAUGUGAUCAUGGUCCAAGACCCAACUAAGGCUGCUGAAGAACCCAUGGAGCUACCAAGGGACUGAUUACUCGUGCUCGAGCUAAGAGGUUCAUGGAAGCUGUUGCGGGCUUUAUUGUUUGAAUUUGGGGUGAAGCCGUUGCGGGGUUUAUUGAUCAAUCAUGGACAUGCACUCCAAGCAUGCCAUGCAACCUACUUCAAGCUCAACUUUAGUUUUCUUCAGCUUGUGAAUUUAUUUGCUGGAAUAAAGAAUUAAAUUCGGUUCUAGUUAUUUUAGUUAAAUUAGUUUAAGUAUAUAAUUAUGUCAUAAUCUGAACAUAUUUAAUAAGAUUUUUUAAUUAUGUCAUAGUUUAGGACAUUUUAAAUACAUAAUUUAAUUAUGUCCUAGUUUGGAAAUCUUUAAUAUAUGUGUUUAGUUCAGACAAAUUAAAUUAUGUUUAAGUUGGGUUUAAUGUGUCUUGUAGGGUGAUCAAUGGAUGGCAUUAAAUGGGGAAACAUGCAUUUGGACGUGCAUGCAUGGAUGCUGGUUGAUCUCUUCCAAGCAACUUUUCAUGGAAUGCAAUGGACACAAGUGCUUUCACAUUAGUCCAAUCAGCUGGAUGCUAUAUUCACACUAAGUGACCAUCCAAUUUUGAGUUUUCACACCUUAAGAGAUGUUCGUGUGCUCUAUGCAACAUUAAAAUGGAGACUGCACAUUUGGCUUUCCAAGAAGGCAUCAACCAUGUUCACACCAUCCAAAAUCGAUCAUCUACUUGAACCAUCAGCUCAAAUUAAAGGCUACACGUUUUGGCUAUUUGGGGAGUGCAAAUGACAUGGCUGUUGGCGUCACCUAUGCAUGAGAGUCUUCAAAAGUCAUGUAGAAUAGGUCAAUAGUUAGUUAACUCAAUUAAGCUGAAUUAAAUUAGUCCACUCGGCUGGACUUCUGUAAAGCUAUAAAUACUAAGCUCAAAUCUUGUAUUUGGAACUUUUGAUCCUUUAAUGAAUUUUAAUCUAUUUGUGAGUUGUUCAACUCUCAUUGUUCUUUUGUGACUCAAAUUUACUUAUCUAGCUAGUCUAGUGGCGUCAAUCUGUUUCUCUUUGUGAACUUAUCACUCUAAUGAAUGUGGCGUUCAACCUAUACCAACUGGUUCCUAUCUCUUAUAGAUAGUAGGUCACGGUUAAGCUAUCAAGUCCAUUUUCAACUUAAGAGCUACUAUAAGAAUUAGGUCAAUAUUACCAUAUAAUAUUGGUUCUCUCUUUAGCCUUAAGCCAAACCUAUUUUUGCCACCUCUAUCCAUUAAAAAUUCCUUUGUUUCAAGCCAACUUUGUUCGUUUACAACCCUUUCAAGAACUAAGUCCAUACUUCUUAAUUUUACGAUUGAAAACAUAAGAUGCUCGAUUUGCCCAACGAGUACGAGAUCGCAUCAUGACCCAUUCUCGACUCUGACAACAUUAUUAUUCAUUCAGUCACUAAUCUUUUUGAUUUCAUACUUGUAGGCUUAACCAAAAAAAAUCUUGUGAAUUCCAUUGUAUACAACCUUGAGGGUGGGGGUGGAGAUCGUAAAGCCUCAAAAUUUGACUCUUGCAUAUAUAAACACAUAGCAUAGCAUUCCUCAUUAACAUAAUCAUUAUAAAAGUUUAUGUAUACCUUCAUAAGUUUCUACUCAUCCUUAACAACAUUUUUACCCAAAUACUUGAGUAUCACAUUCAGCAUUAUCGGAAUUAGCUCGGUUGGAAAACAUUUUUGUCUAAAAAUAAAACAAAUCUCAUUAAAGUCGGGAGAUAUCACACUAUCACAGGUUAUGUAGUGGCAUGUAUUUCUAGACUUCAUACAUGCUACAUUCAGUCCAAGAGCUGACUAAACUAUAACUCUGAUACCACUAAAUGUAACACCCCUAACCCAUAUCUGUUACAGAAUUAGGGUUAUAGAGCAUUACCAAAAACUUUUAAUUUAAAACAUUCAAUUACAAUCAUUUAUAAAACACAUCAUAUUCAAUUCAAACACAUGCAUAAUGUCCCUUUUUCAAGCCCUCGAGGCUUUAAAAGAUCUUAAGAAAUAAUUCGGGACUAAAUCAAAAAAUUUAGAACUUCAUGAACAAAGAUAGAAAAAUUCAUACUACAGUGGUCACACGGCCGUGUGACCAGGGCAUGUGACUCACAUGGCUGAGACACACUCCGGUGUCUCAAGUCGUGUGGGUAUUCGAAGUAGGGACACACGGUUGUGUCCCAGCCCGUGUCCGUGUCACUAUCUUACUUGGGUCACACAACCAAGCCAUACGCUCAUAUAUCAGGCCAUGUAAUGCUUGAAAUGUAACCAAUAAAAACCUACAAGGGACACAAGGCUGUCUUGCGUGACCGUGUGUCACACACGGUUGAGACACAUGCCCGUGUCUUAGGCUGUGUGGAUGAGAAAUAGGCCAUUUUCAAGCCAUUUCAUUCACUCUAAACAUGCUCACACACACAAACCAUUUGUACCUAUUUCAAACAUCAAAAAAAUGUACCUAAAACAUGCAUAAUGCAGUUAAAUCAAAUUGGCAACUAUAUCUACAACCAAUAUGCCAACAAGCACCUCAAUCACAACGAUCAAAUAUACUUAAACAUAUGCAUAAUUUAGCCAUUCCUAAACCAUACAUUUCUAAUCUAAUUCAAUACCAAUCUUACCAUAAUGACCACAUGCCAAAGUCACAUUCAAACAUACCAAGUUUCUCAUUCAAAAAUGCAUUAACCCCUUAUCAAAAUAACACACACCAAAUAGGAAUCAAAGGUACCAAGGUUACAUCAACCAAAAUGACAUAUGCAUGUCAAACUCAUCAACUAACAUAAAACACAAGUCCACCUAUACAUGCCAUUAUAACUUUGAUUUGGACACCAAAAUCUACCAUUAUAAUCGUUGGAUAGUGUGAUAGAUCUCUGACCAGCUUCCUAACCGAUCGAGCUUCCGAUAAUCUGUAGAGUAAGAGAAAGACAACCACACAAGCAAUGAAUGCUUAGUAAGCUCAUAUAAAUUUUAAACAUAAAAUUCCAUUUUUAUACAUGAACUUUAUAAGUCAUAAAUAAACCUAUACCAUUGCUUCAAGAUUUAUCAAACUAUAUAACUAUCAACUCACAAAUGAAUAGGUUCAUUAACAUCCCGAAUACUUUCUAUUCAUACCAUAAUAAAGUCUUAUAAGCUGAAUUACAUAAUCAUCAACCUUUUCUUAAAAUAGUGAACCAUUUCAUUUACUUACUUACCAUUUCAUUUACUUAGCAUAAGGUUAAUUAUGUAUCAAUUCACGAAUCAGUAUACCUAUUCAUGACAUAAGUAAAUUCCUUCCUUACAAGUAAGUCCUUUAACUCGACAAUCCUUUUUAUUUCAUCAUAUUUCGUCACAUCUAUGAACUUACCAUUUCCAUAUAUAAUCUCACCCGUUUCAUUUGUAUAACUCACAAGAUAUAAGCAUAAACAUCAACCAUAACCACAAGCUAGUGCACUUAAACAUAACUCCUUCACAUUUAACUAAUAAUCAUUCUGUAAUUCAUCAUUCAUCUCAAACUUUCCAAUAAACAUGUAAUCUGGAAUUACUUACCUUCACUAAAUAAGAUUAAAUCUAAAUGAAUAAAUUAAUCAUACCUGUUAUACAUUUACAAAGCACUUAUAGGCUUAGUAUUGAAAAUGAUUCAUCGUAUGCUUCCUGUACUAUAAUAGUUCAACCCAAACUCAUUUAUAUAUGUAUAUAAACAUAUAUCUUUAACUAAAUAAUCAUCAAUAUAACGAUACUCACAUAUGAUCAAGUAAUUCAUUGAACAUUUAACAUUUAACACUUACUAAUUUCUUGACUAUACAUUAGCCUUUAACAUUAAACUAAUUUUAUAAAUUUCAUUCACAGUUAGCCCGAUGAACUAGUAACUUGAAUAGUAUACUCGGGUGACUACACCACACCAAAGGCAUCAUAGAUGCAUAACAGGGGCACCAUAGUGCGAAUAGAGGCACCGAAGUAUAUAUUGGGGCACUAAAGUGCAAACAGGUGCACUGAAGUGUAACUCUUGUACAAGUGUGCAUUCUAACCCUAUUGGUAUGCCAAUCGUAUGCUAGUGAUUACUACAUUCAACCAAGCAUUUCACGUAAUCCAUUUAUUUUAAACAUAUUUAUCAUUCAAGGGCACUUCAUUAUUUUCGUACACAUGAUAUAAUAUCAAUACAUAUAUUCACAUUGUCAAUGUGGCAUUACAUAGAUUAACAUCAUCUAUUUAUCACUUUCAUCUUUCUCGAUACACGUGCUGUAAUAAUUCAUAAUCAUGCUGAAAUCACAUAUAUAUCAUAUCUCAUAAAUAUUCAAUAGUUUUCUAAUAAAUCCUUUCUCACCUUAUAUUUAGUUAUAAUAUUUCGAGUUUCAGCUCACAUUUUAAACAUCAUAUAUAAGUAUAUACAUUCAUGAAUCAGCAUUAACAUUGUUUAUAUAUAUAGGUUUGUACAAUUCUAUACCUACGAGCUUACCUGGCUAAAUUACAGAAAUGUCAAAGUAUAGGGGCAUUUUGGUAAUUUUCCAUUCUCCUAGAUUUUUCACCCGACAUUGAUCUAAAUUAAUAAUUGUAUUCAAUCUAUUAAUUUAGAUAGUAAAAUAAUAUAUUUUAUACAAUUUUGUCUUUUUUGACAUUUUUACAAAAUUGCCCUUAAAGUUUCACUUUUAUUCAAUUUAGUCCCUGAGCCUAAAACAAGCAAAUUAACCAUUUUUACCCAAAAUUGAGCCCAUCUGAAUACUUAUGCUCUCCAACACAGGCCAUUCAAACAAUAAUUUCAUAACAAAUCCUUAUAUUUUUACUAUUUUAACAAUUUAGUCCCUAACAUCUAAAAUCACAAGGUUCAUCAAUGGCAAUAUUACAAAUCUUUAACAGUUUCAAAAUCAAAGGUACGAGCUAGCUAUAACUAAUUGCAACGAUCUGAAAAACAUAAAAAUUAUUAAAAAUGGAGCCAAAAUCACAUACCAUGCAAUAGGAAAACCACUAUGGCUGAACUUAGCUUAAAACCUCCAUGGACAUUCAUUUGUUUGAAGAAGAAACUGAAAAGAUGAUAACCAAUUACCUUUUCUUUUUAUUUUAUUUUAAUUUAAUAUACCAAGUUACCAUUUUAACCUUAGUUAAUAAUUAAAUAAAACAUCAAAUUCAUAUCCAUUAUUGUCCACUAACACCUUGAAUGGUCUAAUUACCAUUUAAGUCCUUUUUCCUUUAUUCAAUUAACCAUUUAAUCGCUCAAAUCAAAUAGUGAUUAAAUUUUACAUCUUUUCCUAAUUUAGUCCAUUAUAAUUAAUUAACUAUUGAAACGUUAAAGUUUUUCAAUGAAACUUUAAUACAACCUGAAUGACACUCCAUAAAUAUUUAUAAAAAAUUAUGGUUUGAUUUAUAGAAACGAGGUCCCGAUACCUUAUUUUCUAAACCCACUUGACCUUAGGGUCUUACCACUUGAACCUAUUAAAUCAUUUAUAUAACAAAAAUCACUAUAUCACAAACCUUUUUAAAACCAUGUUUGACUCGUAAAUAUUAAAUGAUAAUAUUUACGAACUUAUUCAUCGAAUUUUGUGGCCCCGAAACCACUGUUUUCGACACUACUCAAAAAUGGGUUGUUACAUCUUCUCCCUUCUAUUCAAAAAUAAAACCAUUGCUACCUUACUCUUGAAGCUAAUCAGGGGUUUCUCACUAAUAUGAAACUAAAGAUGGAGUUCAUGUAUGAGGUUGUUUCUCACACGGGGUAAGUAUUUUGGACUCACGUGUUGUUUUUAUAAGAAUGAGUUUGAUUAUGUACGUAAAUGGGAAAAAAAGAACUAAGGCCUUGCAUGGUGAAUGUUUGUGCUAGAAAUAAGGGUGAGAUUUGAUAAUAUUCCUAUGUCUUAUAAACAAUGACUUUUAAGGGUCCGCAAGAGGAUGUGUGAACUUGGGGAUCAAGCUGUUGUUUAUGGAAGUAAGGUGAGUCCCUCAAUUGAUCAUUACAAGUGUAUUAUGCUUAUCUAGAAAAUUCUAUGUUAAAAUUCUACGCUAAGUGGCCAAAGCAUGAGAUUAGAACUAGUAAAGCAUGAUAUGACGAAUCUAAUAAGAAAUGUAAGACUUAUGAAACUGAAUGAAUAUGGUGCUUAUGUCUGAAAGUAAGAAGAUCGAGUCUGAUAGGAAGUGCAUGUGUGUCUGGUAAACAUAAGAAUGUCUAUCAUAAGUGAGUUAAUACGUGAUGAGUCUGUGUCUAUCUCCAAAGUCGUCAAAGGAAUCCGUUAGGACAAAAUCACAAAUCUUUGAAAGGAAAAGUCCAUGUCCAUGGCACUACAGAAGAUGAUAUCAUGUAAUACCAUAAUUGGUGGGUUAUGACAUCAUAUUGGAAGAAUAUCAUAUCGUGUAAGACCGUAACUGGUGGGUUAUGGCAUCAUAUGGAAAAAAUUUAAGGAAGGUUAUUACCAAAUGUGGUUCUGUAUGUGUCCUAGGACAAUAAGGGGAAAACCUUACUAAGUGUGAGUCUAGACAAAUCCCUAUCGCCUAAAUCACCAGGAGAAGAAAAUCCUUUGUGGCAAAACUUUGGAAAGGCAAGCCUUUGUGGCAAACCUAUUAAAGGAUAACCUUUGUUGCAAAACUUUAGAAAGGCAAGCCUUUGUGGUGAACCUAUUAAAGGACAACUUUUGUAGCAGUGGUGAAACUCUUAAAGGACGCCUUUGUGGAGAGACUCUGAAAGGAAAAUCUUUGUGGCCACUACUUAAUGAAAAUGAAGCCUUUGUAGAAAUAUCUAGAUAAGGAAGCCUUUGCUGAAAUCUCUGAAUUAGGGGGCCCUUAUGGCAAUAUCUGGAUAAAGAAACCUUUGUGGCUAUCUCUAAAAAGGAAUGUCUUCAUGGUGCCAUCGAAAGAAUGAAACUUGCAGUAACCAUUUGAAAGAAAUGCCUCUGUUGUGGACUCUGAACAAAAAGAAAGAAACCCAUGGUGAACUCUAACAAAAUGGCGUAUAAAGUCUCUUGAAGGAACGAUAAGUAUGGUGAACUUUGAAUGAAAGGCUCCGUAAGAAGUGUUAUGGCUAACCCAGUAUAGUAAUAUGGUAAGAAAAACGAGACUAGAGUGUGCCAACGUAAGUGGUGAACCCAAGGUCUUCUAUCUGUAAGGCCCUCUGUAAUAGAAAUGGUUAAGAAAUCAUGAAUGAACAAAAUGAAGAAUGUGAAUAAGGCAAUGAUGAUAGGAAUAGUAUGUUAUGAUCUCAGAAUGAGGAAUGACACCAAUGACACAAUGAACAGAAUUUUAUGGAUGUAACUGCUUGAGUCAAGGGAAGGACAACAGCAAAGGAUAUGAAUAUGGAAUUUUCAAGUAUGAAAUAGGUAAAGGAAGAUUUGCUCACUAAGUUUUCAUGAGCUUAACUUUGUGUCUUUUAUGACACAUGUAAGCUUAUUUGAGGUUAUAUCAGGAAGGACUACGCUAGGUGAAUGGCGAGAUGGGUUGUUAUGCAUACAGAGUGAGCUUGAAAUGAAGUGAUCAAGUUUGACAGAAACACUCUGAAUGGGCUACGCAAUCUAUUUUGAAGCUUGAUAGUGAGAAUAGAAUGUGUUGUGAAAAUAAGUGUAAUAUAUAUACUUGUGAACCCUCGUCUAAUUAAAAGGCAUGUUUAAGGUUUGUAAUUAGUUAUUAUACAUCCAGAUGUGAUCUAGCUAAGUAGUCCUAUUAAAUAAAAUGGAUUUUGUUGAAAGUUUAAAUGUUUAGAUAUAAAUAAGUCUAUAAUAGGAAAUGUAACACCCGAGAUCCCAAUCCAAUGAAUCAGAUCAAGUCGAGGGCAUUAUAGUUAGUUUAAAACAUUUACUUAACAUAGAGCUUACAAAACACAUAAUCAUGUAGAGCUCGUUGCAUAGAGCUCGCAUGUCACUGUUCAUGAGAUCACAUAUUGAAAUACUUUCGUAAAAUCAAGUAAUAGAAAAGACUUACUUAUCAAAACUUAGGUCAAACCCUAAGCUCCUGAUUAACAUUAUAGGUCGCACAUACAAGUUGCAAUCCCUAAACACUCACUAAUUUUUCUUGAAGACUUAGACAAGUUUUGCUAUUCCCUUGACUUUGCUUAAAGAUGGCUCUUGAUUUCUAAGUGUUGGGCUCUUAAGACUUGCAGACAGAAUAAUUGAUAGUAAAUUUAGGAGAAAAUAAUGUGUAAUUCCCUUAAUGGAAAUGGCUUAAUUAUAGGCUCUAAGUGUCUUAAUGUCUUUAAUACUCUAAUUGUAAUAGAAGUAAUAUUUAACGACAUGCAUGGAUAGUGUUGUAAAGAGAAAAGUAAGCUAUCAUUCCUAACUGAGGCACGACUCUACUUUAACCAUUCUUAUUUUUAACUCACAACCCAAAACUGUAGUUCGCUGGCCUAUUGGCGAUCCCUAUUUCGCCAAAAAUGCUAGCGAUCUAAGUUCACUAAAUUCUUAGGCGUACUCUAGCUCACCAAGCCUUUUAGAGAACUCCUACUUGCAAAGCUUAUUGGUGUACUUUAGCUCACCGAACUUGUUGGUCAUACACUUGAUCACGAAUCUACUAACAUAUACAUGCUUGUCAUUUUCUCUAGCGAACCCUUGUUCACUAGUCUUACUGACGAGUACCUAUUUGUCACGCUCUUGGGCAAUUUUUUGUUCGCCUUGGUGAACCCAACUCACUUGGCCCCAUACUUCUAGGCUCUACUUUAGGAUGUUACAACUCUCCCUCUCUUACGAAAUUUUGUCCUCGAAAUUCCCUAUGUUUAGAACAGGUCAGGGUACUGGUGUCUCAUGGCUUCCUCUAUUUCCCAAGUGGUUUCGUUGGUCUUGUGAUUUCACCAUAACACUUUAACUAAAGGUAUCUUCUUAUUUCAUAGAGUCUUUUCUUCACAAGCUAAGGUUUCCACGAGCCGUUCAUCAUAAGUAAGACCAGGUCGCACAUCAAUUUCAUCUGUUGAAACAAUGUGGGAAGGGUUCGCGCGAUACUUUAUCAACGUGAACACAUGAAAAACAUCAUGAAUUUACUCCAGUUCUUGUGGUAGCUUAAGUCAGUAGGCUACUGGACCAAUCCUUUCAACCACCUCAUAAGGAUCGAUACUUACUUACCUAUUUGGUACUCUAUGUCUCAUCAUUUUAGAUCGGUGUAAGACUUUUGUUUGUCUAAAAAAACAUCCAGUCUUUCGCAAAUCACUUUCACCUUAUCUUCUAUUUCACGAAUUAGCUCUAGUCUAACCAUUCACUUAUCAUCUAAUUCCGCCUAACACAAAGGUGUUCAACACUUCCUUCCAUACAAUGCCUUGAAGGGUUCCAUUUGGAUACUUACUUGGUGAUAACUCUUGCAAAGAGUUAUAUUUCAUGCCCUUAGGCUUAGUUAAUUACCUGUACUUAAGUGUUGUUAGUUCCAUUUUAGGAUAUUGCAUUGGCACUUUUAAAACAUUGCAUUAAAAAGCUUGGAUUGCGCUUAAUUGUGAUUACAUGUUGAUUUUAACUGCUUGUGGGAAAGAUUUGUUUGGCGAUUGUUUAGUAGGUGUAAAGUGUAGAGAAAAGUUUAACGGUUUGUCAUGGAAAAUACAGAUAGUUUGCCAACACAAAUGUUGUGGCAAUGCUGGAAAGACGCCUAGUCAGCACUUAAGGCGUACCACUCUUGUCCCCACAUAUAUAUCUACUUGGCAAAUAAAGAAAGGAUCACGGGUUGAUGGACCUACCCUAGAAGGUGAAACUUAUAAAAGCCAAGCAAUGAACCCUAUUUAAAGGGAGCCUUUAGACUAAAAAGAGCAACCUUGAGCAGUCGAAAAUAGACUACGACAGCAGCCUUGGAUGAAAUAGUAAAUAUCAGGUAGGGGCCAAGAACAAGGGUAGCAAAAGAAGUAGAAAACAACUGCAAUCACCUUGGGCAACUGCAAGACAUUGCACUGCCUAUAUUGAGAGUUGGAUAGGAGAAAGUUGUAAUCUUAGAUUUCCUCCUUUGUUUCUUAUCAUGCUUUUCUUUAAUGCUUAUCAGUUAUUGAUGAUGUUGGUUAUUGUAUUAAACUCAAACUUGAUUUUCCCAACCAUGAGCUAAAUCUCUUAGGCUUGGGAUUACUUUGAUGAAACCUUUAUUACUAUUAAUGUUUAAAGUUUAAUUUUGGUUUGCUCUACUAUUUUAUUCAAUGGCAUAUCACGUUAUAUGUAGGUUGUACAUUAACGAAUGUACGACAGGUUUAUAAAGAAAACUUAAUACCGAUAAGGUUGGGUUACCUGGAUAAGUGUUGGAUAAUAUGAGGGAAUGAUUAAUCACUUAUACAUGGCAACCUUUAGACAUAGAUCCUUGCCUUGUGUGAAAGAAGGUAGGAAAUAUUAGUGGUAGCCGAACUCAAAGCCUAUAGACAUAUAAUGCCCUAAGGAACGUAACCGAAGGUCUUGCUCUCGAGAGAGAAGUAGACUACUGUAGCAACCUAUUGAAUAGUAGAAUAUUCACGACUUUGUUGUGGCAUUAGUGAAGGUUGAUCCAUUAGUAAUCCCAGCUGUCCUAAUCAACAUUGUAGCUCCUCAAGCCUUUUUUGUAGUGAUUUUGCCAUGGCAUUCUUGUUCUGUUUACUUGUUUUGCACAUUUUAUACAUCAUCAUUCUCUCAUUUUUCCAUUGCAUUCUUAUUCUUAUUUUUCUUUAGCAUUAAUCGAACUUAACUAUAAUAACUCAACCAAUUUAUACCUAUCUAAUCCCUAUGGAGAUGAUAUCACUCAUCACUAUAUUACUUGAUCAACUUGUACACUUGCACGACUUGCAUAUCAGCUGUGCAACCAACACCUAGGAACUGUUUUUAUAUACGAACUCUACUGAGGGCAAAAAUCAUUCCCAGCUUCCUGCGAAUUCCACCACAUGGCUUGGUUGCAUGUCUUCUAGUACUUGGAUCACCCUCUCUUAUUGACCAUCUAUCUAUAAAUGAUAAGAAGUACUGAAAUUCAAUUUCCAACCCAAGGGUUCUUAUAAAAUUUUCCAAAAUCUCGAUGUGGAUCGUGGAUCUUGAUCGACGGUAAUGAAAUCAUUCCCAUCUAUAUACGAACUCUACUGAGGGCAAAAAUCAUUCCCAGCUUCCUGCGAAUUCCACCACAUGGCUUGGUUGCAUGUCUUCUAGUACUUGGAUCACCCUCUCUUAUUGACCAUCUAUCUAUAAAUGAUAAGAAGUACUGAAAUUCAAUUUCCAACCCAAGGGUUCUUAUAAAAUUUUCCAAAAUCUCGAUGUGGAUCGUGGAUCUUGAUCGACGGUAAUGAAAACGAGCACGCCAUGAAGUCGUACAAUUUUUUUGAUGUAUAACUCCACCAAAUUUUGCAAAGUAUAAGUGAUGUGGACUUCGAAGAAGUGAAAAAUUUUAGUGAGACAAUCUACAAUCACCUAUAUUGCAUCUUUCUUGUCAAGGUCAGUGACAAGCCGGACACAAAGACCAUGGUGAUCCUUUCCCAUUUCCACUCUAGAAUUUUGAUUGGUUGCAACAAUCCUAAAAGAUACUGAUGCUCAACCUUCACCUCUUGAAAAAUAAGACAUUUUCCACAUAAUUCAUAACGACUUGCUUCAAGUUAGGUUACCAAUACAAUUCAUAAAGGUCAUGGAACACCUUAUUGCUCCCUGGGUGUAACACGUAAAAGUAGUUGUGAGAUUCUAUAAAGAUCGCAUAUUGAAGUUUUUCAUCAUAGGGCACAUAUAGUCUUCCUACGAAACAAAGUAUCCCUUUUUUAUUCAGUGCGAAGUCCCCCUAUAACUUGGGGUUUGUGCAAGUGUACAUAGUCAUUAUCAAGUAAUAAGUAAGUAUCGAGUUAUCGUCACCACAGGGAUUGUAUUUGUGCUAAGUCACUUAAUUUGUAAAAUUAUAUUAACAAUUUGGUAAAUAGAAACACGAUAUAGUUGAGAAAUGGUGAUUAAAAUAUAUUAAACUAAAUGCAAUGAUCCUUAAUGCAAAUUAUCCUAAGUAUGCAAACUAUAUGAAUAAAAUAGAUUUUAGUAAAAUAUAACACAAUUUGAAACAAUUAUAACAUAAAUAAACUAGGACAAUUACUUUAAUUAAACUCAAUUUAUUAUCAACAUGCUUAAUAACAUUCGGAAAAACAUUCCAUGGCAACUCCAUCUUUCAUGAGUUUGGAAACCACCUUAGGUCCUUUCGAAAUCCUUUACUUGGUAAAUACACAUUUUACUAAUCCUUAAUUACUAAGGGUUUCUUAGCAUUCGUGUGAGGUAACAGGGAUGUGUUAGGUUUGAAACAAUUUAAUCACACAAAUCUAAAAACUAUGCAGAUAACAGAGCUUGGUUAGAGUUGUUAUGCAACCUACAAUUCAAUCGGGUUAGGAUCUAAAUUGAGCAUGCAUAAUUCAAUUAUGCGUCCAUUAGCCGUCAUCUGGUUAGGAUCACUCAGCUAAUUCAAGUGUGUUUCAGUCACGUAUGAAUGAAAUACAGACUUGAUUUUAAUUGAAAACAUGAUCAAUUGAGGCACAAACAUUAUAAGCAUGAAUCAAAUAAAUAUUAUUUAAUCAAAAUAAACAUCCUAGCUUAAAUAAAAUUAAGCAAUCAUUGUUGUAAACAAGAAAAAAGAGCACAUAGAAAACAUAUUUAAAUUAAAUUUAAAGAAAAGAAUGAUUAAACCCAAUUUAGAGUGGUUGUCACCCAAGACUCUGACAGACGAGGCUCCUUUGCUUCUUUACGUUGCUCGUUUGCUGAUGGCUUUCCAAGGUGGCCAACUAAGAAUUCUUUAAGAGGCUUAAUUGCUAAAAUCCUUAUGCAAGGAUGAUGAAGGGGAAAGAUAGCUAAAAGAGUUGAGAGAAUGAUGAAUGAGUGAGAGAUGAUGGGAUGAGGGAUGAUUGAAAAAGAGAGAAAUGAGCUCUUAUUUAUAGGUGAGGCAAAGGAACUAGUUUGCUAAAAAUAGGAGUGUUUAUCCUUUGAAACUUCCUCCAAGAGUGGUCGGCCAUGAAGUGAGGAAAGGUGGCUGAUUUUUCCUUGAUUUUUGGUCAAUUUGAAUGCCACAACAACUCAGGACUAAGACUCGGUCAUCAGCAAAUCUUCGAGAAAAUCUCUGAUUUCUUUAACUCUUCAAGGACUUUGUAUAAUUAAAUCAAAAAAUGGUUUAUGACAUCCAUGUGCAGCCAAAAAUUGGGUUGACUUGGUCCCCAAUUUGGACGGUUUUGCAAUUAGAAUAAAACUCUCAGCCCUGUCAAAAAAUAGUAGAUAGUUUAGAUGACCAAAUAAUAUAAUUUAACCACUCUAAUUAAUCAAUUUAUUUAAUUAAUUAAAACCCAAUUUAUUAAUUAAUUAUUAAAUAUAACUUUAUAUUUUAUUAUUUAAUUUAAUCAUGCAUGGCCCACUUUAUAGCUUAAAAAUAUAAUAUGCUUAAAUUAAUAUAAAAUAAGUCAUUUUAUGCAUGAAAACUAUAUAAUAAAGUAUAAAAUCACAUUUUAAUAAUUUCUAUGUCCUAAUUUCAUAUUUUCGCAUAUUUCAUUAAUUUAUUAAACAAUUACUUGGUUUUAACAACAAAUUUAAGUAAAAAGGUAAUGAAUUAUAUAGGAAAAAUCUUAUAUAUUUUUUAGUUUACACACCCCCAAACUUAAAUCAUUGCUCGUCCUAAGUAAUGUUCAUGCACAGCACAAGGUCUUACUAAGGCAAAUUUUGCUAAGAGUGUAAGUAGCAUCAAUCUUUGUUUUAUAAUCAUGCAUCAAUAAAUUCAUGCUCAUAGACCUUCUUUAUUAACAAGUAACUCAUAUACAAACAUUUUGAAAAUUUUAUUCUAAGUUUCAAGAUAUGCCAACAUGAAUCAUAGUUUGCAUGUAUGUCACAGUCAUAGAUAAUAUUUUUCAUUCAACACAAAUUCUCAUCAAUCAAGCAAAACAAUCAUAAGGCUUAUUUAUGAUCUUCAUAUGUUGAACUUAAUACUUCCUCUCCACUAAUGUAGGUGACAUAAUCAUCAAAUCAAUAGGUCUUUUAUAAGGUUGUAAUGGGGCUCGGUUAAAGGCGGGGAUUUUAAGAGAUGAGACAUUUCGGUUUCAAAAUCUUAACCUUUAACUUGUCUUGAAUUUCUCAAAAUUCAACCUUUUUCUUCAAGUGAACCUAUGGAACUCCGUUUGAAGUCAUACUCAUACAUUUUCUUUUUGGAGACUGAGCAAAUUUUUCUUCACUCUUUCUUUGUCUUUGUUGUUGCUAUUGUUGUUUUAAGCAUGAACACAUACAUCUUUAUGAAAAUUUCCUCAAAUGUUCAUUCCCAAGACAACUUUAGUUAGGAUAAGUGCACAAAAUUAAGAUAAUUUUAAAAAGAUGGUACUGGCUUAUAAUGUACGUUUAUUACAAUGAACAGGCUUUUAAGCUCAAAAUUAUAGUUUCAAGGGUCUAAGAUCAUAAGGUGGGCUUGAAAAGGCUUAAACGAUCCAAAGAAAAACGGUGCUGUAAUACCCCUUACCCGUGUUCCUCGUCGGAACAAAGUAUGAAGUGUCAUUAGAACACAAAUACGAAAAAUUAAUUUUUUUUUUACAAAAAUUUUGACUUAUUCCUCUUUAUAAAUACAUUACCUCACCUACACAUUUUCAGAUCAUAAUCCAACCAAUUCCAAUAUUCCAACCAACAUUUAUAUUCUCAAUUAUAUUCAAGUUAUACACAACACUUUAACUAUCAUCACUAGCAUUGCAUAAAAAUAAUUUAUCAUAUAACAUACACUAACAUUUAAACUAAAUACUUUGUAACAUACAACAUCUACUUAAGCCAUCUAUACAUGUCAUAAUUUAGAAAUGUUGAUUUCAAAAUACCAAAAUAUGUGGAUAGUGUUAAUGAGUUCCCGACUAUUUCCAAAUUCUGAGUUGAACUGGUAACACUAUAAAACAAGGAAAAAGGAAGAGGGGUAAGCAUAUAGCUUAGUAAGCAAGUAUGUGAUUAAUAAACAAAUUUCUAACAUGUUUUCAUAGAUGAUAUAAUUUAAAUCACACAUAAUUUCAUUAUUUGCACAAUUUCCAGCAAGCUGUUUUUAUGCAUCAUAGUCACUAAAUUAUUUUUAUCUGGAGUUACAGGACUCCAAAUAAAUAUACGUAAAUUUCCCUUGAAACUAGACUCAAAUAUAUUAUUUUCAUAAAAUUUUUAUAAUUUUUGGCUUGAUCAAUUAGUACAGUUUAUUAUUUAAAUUCACCCCUAUUUUACUACUCAACAUCACUGACCUCUUUUCACUAAAAAUGAAUUAUCUCAUUGUAUAGAUUUUUAAUGAUAUUUUUGUUUGUUUUCUUUGAAAAUAGACUAAUUCAGGAUUUUAAACAUAUAAAUUAUAACUCAUAAUUAUUUUUUUACAAUUUUUAAUUAUUUUCCAAAGUCAGAAUAGGGGAUUCCGAAACCAAUCCAAAUCUGCAUCACUAAAAUUCAAAUAUCUCAAAAUAUAUUACUCUUUUGCUUGCUCUGUUUAUUUUAUGUAAAAAUAGACUCAUUAAGAUUUUAUUUCAUAUCUUAUUCACUCUCUAAUUCAAUUUCCACCAUUUUUGGUUAUUUUUCAAAGUCACACUACUGUUACUGUCAAAAACAGUUUUGUUGCUAAUUCUACUUUUUCAUAAUUUCACCUUUUUACUUUUAAUCACUAUUCCAUUCAAAAUUCACUUUUCCAUUUUCAAGUCAAUAUUCAAUUUAGUUCCACACAUAUAUGCACUUAUAAAUCACAUAGUCAUUUCAUCAUAUCAUGUAUUUCACUUAAUAAAUUUCUCGUUGAACUUAUCGGACUAAAAAAAUAGAUUUCUCGGUGGCCUGCACACAGUCCGUACCACCUUUGUGUAAUAACAGAUUCUCGGUGGCCUGCACAUAGUCCAUGUCACCCUUGUAUCUUAACAAAUUAUUGGUGGCCUACACAUACUCUGUGCCACCCUUGUGUCACAACAGAAUAUCGGUGGCUUGCACACAGUCCGUGCCACCCUUGUGUCAUAACAGAUUAUCGGUACGGAUAGUAGCCUACACUUAGUUUGUGCCACAUAUGCGACCUAUCAGUCUGGUACACGUAGUGGCCUACACUUAGUCUGUACCACACGUGACCCAAUUACGACCAUUCAUAUCUUUUCUAUUCCGAGUUUCAAACGGAAAUUCUUAUUUUUCAAUCUUUUCCCAAUUCUUCUCUAACCAAUCUUAAUUUAUAAUUUGCAUCAUAAAUUUGUUACACAUAUAACUCAUCUCUUAAAUAAAAUAAUAAGACACUUAAUCAUAAAUAAAACAAUAUAUUAUCUUCAUACAAACUUACCUCGGUGCAAAAUAUUGUAGUUUUUGCAAUUUAAUCCACGAUCUUUUCCUUUCCCCGAUUGAGGUUGACUUCUCUUCUUUCUUGAUCUAUAAUAGAAAUUUUACCUUGUUUAGUAUUCACAUUUAUCAAAAUAGUCCUCAACUCAACUUUUAGGAAAAUUAUGAUUUUGUCCCCAAAUUUUUGCAUAUUUAUGUUUUUGCCCCAAAGCUCGAAAAUUAAAUUUUAUUACUUAUUCUUGCGUUUUAUAACAUGCUGAACAUUUUUCCCUUCUAUAGCAACAUCCAAUUCUCACUCUAACACUUACUUAUGUACAUUAAGUAUUUUUACCGAUUAUGUUAUUUUACUCCGUUUCACUUAAAAUCGACUAGCAAAAAUUGUUUAACAUAAAUUCUAGCUUCAUAUUCUACCAUAAAACAUCAAAAUACAUACAUUUCACAUAUGGGUAAUUUUUCAAAUUUCAACCCUAGCUCGAAAUAGCAGUAGAAAUAGGUAAAUCGAGCUACGAGAAUCUUAAAAAUGCAAAGAACAUUAAAAACUAGGAUAGGAUGUACUUACAAUCAAGCUUGAAAGUGGCCAAAACCCUAGCUAUGGAGACUUAGAAAUAUUCAGCCAAGCAUGGAGAAGAUGGACACAAUUUUUACCUUAUUCUCCCUUUUUAAUUCAUUUAAUUACUAAAUUACUAAAAUGCCCCUAAUUAAAAAAAAUCCCAUUUCACUUUUUUUUCAUGUCCAUUUUUGUCCAUCAACACACUAAUGGGCUAAUUCACAUAAGGACCCCCAAUUUAUAAUUUCAUAACAAUCAAACACCUUUAAUAUAUAGAACUCAACUUUUGCACUUUUUACAAUUUAGUCCUCUUGACCAAAUUGAGUGCUCAAACGUAAAAAUUUUCGAACGAAAUUUUCACGAAAUCUUUCCGUGAAUUUGUAGACCAUAAACAUAUAAUGAUAAUAAUAUUCUCUUUUUUCAGAUUUGUGGUCCCAAAACCACUAUUCCGAUUAGGCCUUAAAUCGGGCUGUUACAGGUGCCUAUAUCAUUUUAGAUUUUUAUGUCCCCUAGGAUUUCACCUCAAGAAAGUUACUAAGUCAAUUAUAAAGAUAUAAACCUUUAUGCAUGUCUAAUCUCAAGAGAAACUAAGUUUUCAUGGCAAACAUUACCUAAGACUAAGAUCAUAAAAACAUUCCAUUUUUCAUGAUAACAUGCAAUCACUCAGAUAAAAUCAUCAUUCAUGCUUGCAUACAAGCUAUCUUAUUAAAAAGAAUUUCUCUAAACAUUUAUUUAUUAAGACAUGUUUGUGAAAGAAUGAUUUGAAACAUACUUGAAAAUUUUAAAAAUUUGAGCAAUUUGCCUUACCCCCUUUAAAAAGAAGCAAUGUCCUCAUUGCGAGAAUAAAGUAAUGAAUGAAAACUGAACACCAGGUAGGGUUGUCAAGAACGAGAGGUGAGUCAUUAAGACUACUUAAAUACCAAGUCUUUCCUAAUAACACAAUCCUAGACAUGUUCAUUCCCAUUGCCACAUCACUUAAUCUUUUUCUUUCUAAAGAAGUAUUUAUUCAUGCUUGUUAUGUUUUAUUUUGCAAAAAUUAAAUCCUAUUUACUAAAGAAAUAAAUUCCUAAAGACCUAAAAAUAAUUAAAUAAAAAACAAGACAAGAAUCCCCCCCUUUUAUUUUUCUGACUUAUUCCCCUUGUCUUUUUUAGCUUCAUCUUCGCUUGCAUCGUCAGUCUCUUACGUCCAUGUCUCAAAGAUAGCAUCUGGGAACUCAGGAAAAAAGGUAUUUGAGAUAUUCUUAAAAGUAUUUCAUAUUGAAUCAUCUCUAAUUUUUUCAUAUUUCCAGUAAGUUUGUUGUUGAUUAUGCAUGAACGUACAUAUCCAUCAAAAUUUAUAACUCUGAUUUCCUUGAAGUACUUGCAGAAGUCGGCAUGGGAUUUGUAUAUUCAGGUUCAACACUUAGCUUGAUUGGUUCUUCUUUUGGCUCAACCUAGGUUCAGGGUUUUCAGCUCCUUCAGCUGGUUGAGGACUAUUUGGUUUCUUAUCAGAUUCUUCUUCUUUAGUGUCUGUAACUGAAUCAGCUUUAGUUUCUGUUUUAUUUGUUCACUCUUCGGUUUCUGCCUCAGUUGGUUCCUCUUGCUCACCUUGGUUCAACUCAUGCACUCUUUCUACCAACCUUUCAAGAUCAUGACUUGUAAUGCACCCUUGGACAUACUACCCCUUCAGAUUUUCUUGUGUUUUAACAUGGGCCCUUAAGCAAAGUGAAGUAAUUAAUGAUGGGAAAUAAGCACUUCCUGCCUUCUUUUUAGCACAAUCAUGAAUCUCCUUGAGGAUAAUUUUCCUAACAUUAAUGGACUUUUCUGUCAAGAUUGCAUAUAACAAGAGCAUUCGUUCCCAUUUGAGAGCAUUGAUUAUCUUUCUAAUUGGCACAGGAACAACCAUCACAUCAUUGCUCUUCAAAUUAAAACCUUUUUUCGGCAUCAUAGGUAGAUGCUUGAAAAUUAAAUCAAAUCACUCUUUCACUUCUUUAUCAACCACAAUCAGGUUUUCAGGAGUUGUUUUUGACGAUCUAGUUCUUUUGCGAGACAUGGUACUUUCCCAAACAUUUGGUAGAGUUUCUGCACAAGAGAGAAAAGAGAAAUCGGCAAAGUUGGUAUAACUUGCUAUGGCAAAAAUCUUGCGACAGUAAGGAUGGUGCGGCGGCGAUCUCUUUGCGACAGCAAUAGGGAAUUUUGGCAAAAAGAAAGGACUAGGGUUUCUUUCGAUAUUUGAGGUUAAUGACACAAAAAAAAAGAUUUAGGGAUUUUUAGGGCGGAAGUAAAUUGCUUUGAGGGAGAUGAAAAUUAGUAGAAUGAAGAGGGCUUUAUAUAGGGAAAAUUAGGGCAACAUGCAAUAAAAAUUUAGCUACCUUAAAGUUACUUGGGCAGCAAGUAAUGGGUGUGACGGCAAGGCCUAGUUUUUUCCCUCUUUUUUUGUUGUCUUGGGCCUCAAACUCAUACUGUAUCUUAAAAAAAAUUGAUUAGUACUUGGGCCAAAUUUGACCCCCCUUUAUUAACACAAAAAUUUAAAAUUUAAACUGAACAAAAUAAAACUUAAAAAUUUUAAUUAGAAAAUUUCUUCUUAACAACUUACAUUAAAUUAAUUCCCAAGAAAGGUUGGAGGGGUCACAGCGGUCCCGCUUAAGUUCCAAUCUCCUUAGACAGAAUUAAUUAAAUGUAAUAAAUUAAGAAAAUAGGAUCUAAUUAUUUAUUUAUUUACACAAUGAGUUCAUGAAAAAUUAAGGGUCUGUUAAGAUGAGUGAGGAUUCAGUUUGCUCAACUUCACCAUCCCAGUAGUGUUUGAGACGUUGACCAUUAACUUUAAACGUACCUCCAUAAUUGUCGUAUAAUUCAAUAGCUCCGUAAGGAUAAACUCGGUAGAUGGUAUAGGGUCCUUUCCAUCGGGAUUUCAGCUUCCCAGGAAAUAACUUCAGCCUUGAAUUAAACAACAACACUUUCUGACCUUCUUUAAACUCGCGAAGUUGUAUAUGAGUAUCAUGCCAUCUUUUUUAUCUUUCUUUACACAUUUUGGCAUUCUUAUUGGAAAACAACCUCAGCUCUUCCAACUCAUCUAAUUGUAACGUCCUUCUCUCACCGGCCUAUUUUAUAUCAAAAUUUAACUGCUUCAAAGCCCAGUGAGCUUUAUUCUCCAACUCUAAUGGCAAAUGACAUGCCUCUCCAAAGACUAACUGAUAAGGAGUUAUUCCUAACUGAGUCUUAAAUACUAUUCGAUAGGCCCAUAAUGCAUCAUCGAGCCUUCGAGACCAAUCUUUUCUACUAGGGUGUACUACCUUUUCAAGGAUACUUUUGAUUUCAUGGUUCACUAUUUCAACUUGUCCAUUAGACUGGAGGUGAUAAGCAGUAGCAAUCUUGUGCUUCACAUCAUAUUUAUCAAGCAACAACUUAAGCCAUUUGUUCACAAAGUGAGAACCUUCAUCACUAAUAAUAGCUAUUGGUGUCCCAAAUCGUGUAAACACAUGCUUAUGUAGGAAUCGCAUGACUACCUUAGGAUCUAACAUCUGAUUCGAAAAAUGGUCCUUCCGAGUGGCUUUGUUCAACUUUUUGUAAUCAAUACAGAUUCUCCAACCGAGAAUAGUUCUCGUCGGAAUUAACUCUUUACGCUCAUUUUCAACAAUCGUGAUUCCACCUUUCUUUGGCACACACUGCACCGGACUUACCCACGAACUAUCUGAAAUAGGAUAGAUGAUUCCUGCAUCUAACAGUUUGAUCACUUCCUUUCUCACAACUUCUUUCAUGAUAGGAUUGAGCCUUCUUUGCCCAUCAAUUCAGGUCUUUCACAUUCUUUUAAAAUGAUUUUAUGCAUGCAAAAAGAAGGGCUUAUACCUCGAAUGUCAGCUAUGGUCCAACCAAUUGCUUUCUUCAACUUCUUUAAAAGAACAAUCAGUUAUUCCUCUUGAUCUUUCGUUAGUUCUGCUGAAAUAAUCACAGGCAAAGUAAAAUAGUCACCUAAAUAAAUAUAUUUCAAAUGGGAAGGAAGUACCUUUAGUUGAAGUGUAGGUUGUUCUUCGAUUGACAACUUGGGUUGCACAAAUUCUCUGACUUCUAACUCUAAUAGUUCAAACCGUGUGGAUUGAAUAAAAUUUCUCGGAUUGGCUUCCAUCAAAGCCAUGUUUUUUCACCUUCUUCAUCCUCCAAAGGGUCAAACUCUAAGGCUUUCUCCAAUGGAUCUUCCUCAAAAUUGCUUUCCAUAGAAACCAAGGUUUCUAUCUCUUCCAUAAUUGAACACCCCUCUAUCGGAUCGAGAAAUUUCAUCACUUUAAGAAUGUUUAAGGUUACCUGAUCAUUUUGAACUCGCAUGGUGAGUUCUCCUUUCUGCACAUCAAUUAAGUAUUUAGAGGAGUUGCUAGGACGACCCUUACGGUAGCUAAGUACUAGAUUUCAUCUAUUGAGAGGAUCUUGGAUAAUUUGUACUAUACCCUAGAACAUAAACUUAAGGGUACAGUGUCUCUUUUGAGAAAUGAGGCAUUUUGUUGGUGGAAAUCUAUCAUGGAAGGUACCAAGCCAAAGAAGAUAACUUUGGAUUAUUUCAAAACUGCCUUUCGUAAAAAAAUAUGGGAUCGAGGUAUGUUGAAGCCCGAAAACUUGAUUUUAUUAAAUUGAAGCAAAGGGACCAAACCGUAUCCGAGUAUGAGGCUGAGUUAUUAAGCCUGAACCGGUAUGCACAAGGGGUGGUAGCUUUAGAGUAGAACAACUGUGUUAGAUUUGAGAAUAGGCUGAGGUAUGACCUCAAGGUCCAAGUUGUCAUAUUGUAGGAGAGAGUCUUCGAGACUUUAGUAGAGAAGGUGAAGAUCCUUGAAGAGGUGAAAUAUGAUAAGCAAGAUAGAAGAGAUAAGACCAAGAAUCUAGUGAAGAGAGAUUUUGGUCUGGGAAAUUCUAAUCCAUGCCCAGUGAAGAGGGUCCGUGAAAAUAGACCAUGUCAGUACCCUGCUAUUGCAAGUAACAGAAAUUAGACCCGCAAUUAUGCUUACUGUGGGAAGUCUCACAAUAGGAAAUGUUGAAAGAGCAAGGGAGCAUGUUCUAGGUGUGGGGCGUGGUAAUAACAAAAUGAUAAUAGUGGGUAGAGGACAAAUGGUCAAUGUACGAACUGUACUAAUGUUAGACAGCCCACCUUGGUUUAUGCAGUAAGGCACCAAGAGGACGGUAAUACGGCUGAUGUUAACGCAGGUACUUUUAUAAUAAAUUUUGUACAAUACUUUGCUUUGAUAGAUAUAGGAUCAACUCAUUCUUAUGUUUCCUGCUCUAUGACUGAUAAAUUGGGAGUUCUAGUGGAAAUUAAUGUUAGCGGCAUAACUGUACUCAGUCCCCUAGGAUAAUUUAUGUAUGUGAAUAAAAUAUUUAGGAGAUGUCCUUUAGAAAUUUAGGGUGAGUUGUUUCCAGCUGACUUGAUGGAGCUGCCAUUCAGUGAAUUUGAUCUUAUUUUGGGCAUGGAUUGGUUGAAGGAGCAUCGAGUUAGCCUUGAUUGUGAUACAAAGUUGGUUACUCUGAGGACUUUAACCAGAAAGGAGAUAGUUAUGAUCUAUAAGCACCAAUAUUACUUGUCCAAUGUGAUCUCUACUUUGGUAGCCGAGAAAUUAGUUCAUAAAGGGUACGAUGCAUAUUUGGCGUACAUUCUGGAUAUGAAAGCUGAUGACUCAAUGUUAGAAAGCAUCUGUGUAGUAAAAGAGUUUCCUGACGUCUUUCUAAAAGACUUGCCCGAUCUACCUCCAAAACGCGAGGUUGAUUUUGGGAUUGAGUUGCUGCCUAGGAUAGCUCCGAUGUUUAUUGCUCCCUACUAAAUGGCACCUAAGAAUCUUAAAGCAUAGUUGCAAGAGUUUUUAGACCAUGGUUUUAUCUUGGGGAGCUCCAGUUCUACUCGUGAGGAAGAAGGAAAAUGGUAUGCAUUGAGUGUUAACUCGGUCUUCCUGGAAUUUUCACAACAUUCGUGUUGACAAAAUGUCUAACCUUUUGCCCCGGUAAAACUUCACUCCUUUAUUUCUCCUUCCUCAACCUACACCUGCCAAAGCACCAAACACAACCCUACCACAAGCAAUUAAAAGUACCUAAUAUUUCAACAAAGUCCAAGCUCCUAAUGGAAUGAUGAAGAUAUGAAUGAAAUGUCCUAAAAUGCAACUAAAUGUACCUUGGUGCAAGUAAUUAGCUAGGCCUUAAAGCAUGAAAUAUAAAUUUUUUCAAGAGUUAUCACACCCUCAAACCUGAGUUAUUACUUUUCCUCAAGCCAAAUACAUAUGAAUGCAUGAAUCCAUAAAUUUUUACCCUUCCAUAUAACUAUCUUAUACUAUUAAUCUAUUAAAAGAACAACAUAUACAUCAGUUCUCAGUAGUCUUCUUUCUCUAAAAGCUUGAUUGAAUGUCAAAGGUUCAUUUCAAAAAAGGUAGUGUAGAAAAUUUGUCCCUAAAAAUAAAAUUUCCUAAAUACUCAUGUAUGCUUUCUGGCCAUAACAAAUAUCUCCUAAUGCACUCAGUUCAUUUGUAACCUAAACUAUAACAGCCUAUUUUUAGUGAAAUCGAGACCACAAAUCCUACGUGAAAAUAUUUAUAUUAUUAUUUUAAUGUCUAUGGCAUGUUAAUAGUGUCAUUUGCAUGCUUAAUUUAGUGAGAAUGGCUAAAUUGUAAAAGGUGUAAAAGUAGAGUUCUAGUAGCUAAAGGUAUCAAAUAGCUAUAGAACUUUAAUGUGAGAGUAAUUAGGUGGUAAUUAGACCAUUUAUGUGGUAGUGGAAAUUUAUGGGUUUGGUUUUAUUAAAAUUAGGGAUAUUUUUAAAGGUUAAAAAUGUAAUUAAGUAAAAAAAGGUUAAUAUAAUAAAAACAAAAGAAAGAAAUAAGAUAUCUUCCUAUCUUCAUCCUUAGCUGAAAUAUUCAAGGGAAACCAUAGCUAGGUUUCAGUCAAGCUAUAUUCACCGGUAUGUAAGUGGUUUUUGUUUCGCUUUAAUGAUUUCUAUGUUUUUGAAGUUGUUGUAGCUUAAUCUAGCUAGCCCAGGGACUAAUUUGCAAAACUAUUAAAGGUUUAAGGUUUUACCAUGAAUUUUCUUACAUGAUUUAAGAAGUUUGAUGAAAUAUUAUGAGUCCUUGUGGUUAAAUAAACAAUUUUUGUAAAGUGAUUUUUGAUGAAUUUGUCAUUUAGGGACUUAUUUGUAAAAGUAGUAAAAUACCAUGAUAAAUUUGUGAAAUGUCGAUUUGUAUGAGGUUGUAUGAGCCCCUAGGCAAAUCAACUAGCAUGAUAUGUGGAUGAAAUUGCAUAAAUGAAAAUUUACGAGCUUAAGGACUAAAUUAUAAAGAAGUUAAAAUAUUAGGGGCAAAAAUGUACAUCUGCAAUAGUAUGAAUUUUGGACUAAAUUGAAUAGUAUGUGUAUUAAAAAUAUUGAAUUUUCUUAUUUAGAUAAAGAUAAACCUUGUACGGAUUUAGAUCGAGGAAAGGCUAAAGUCUCAGAUUAGUGAUCCUAUUUUGACGUCUUUGUAAUCAAGGUAAAUUUGUAUGUUUAAAUAACAUUAUAAUGUUAUUUUGAUAUUUAUGCAUUGUAAUAUAUAUCAUGUAAAGAAAUUAUGAGAAUCCAAUGACGUUACAAUGACUAUCGAGCUCCGUUUGAACCUUAGGAAUAUAUAGGAUACAAAUGAAAUGUCAUUAAGGUUACCAUGUUUCGGAUGUUGGUCUUGACUGUCCUACCAAUGGAUGAGCUCUGGAAUUUUUUGCUGAUAUUCGCCAACUUAUGUGAGUGGCAUUGUGUACCAACAUUCUGAUCGUCAACUUGUGUGAGUAGGCCCAUUUAUGGCUUGAGUGAGCAAUGAUGUAAAGGAAAAGGAAUGGUUUCAACCAUAUGUUUAGCAUAUUUUGUGUGAGCUUCCCGCGUAUCCAAUAUUAUUCUAAGUGGUUCAACGGGUAUGAAAUGGGAAGAAACAGUAAGGGUGAGUUUGGAUGGGCGGUGCGUUUACCUGCGGUUAGUGUAAAAACUGCAGUGGCGGUGAGAUUAGAUACUGUAGCGACACUGUAGCGUGAGACAAAAAGUAAGCUAAACGCACCACACCGCACCCAGUCGCCCAUCCAAACCCAUCAUAAGUGCUCCAUUGACUACGUUAUGAACUUAUGGAAAGGUAUGAAUUGAUAAUGAUCAGAGUAUACAUAGUUAUGUUUAUGGAAAGUAUGAAUUCAAAUGUACUAUGUUCAUGAAAUUUACCUUACCAUGUGAUGCUUUUGUUGAGUUAUGUGUUAAGGCACUAACUUAUGUUGUUGAUGAUGCUUGGGCUUGUGUCAAGCUUAUUUUGGAUUGAUUCAUGUUUAAAUUAUGAGGUUUUGCAUUGAAAUGGUAAGCUAUGUUCAUGAUUUACGAACUUACUAAGCAUUAUAUGCUUACGUAGUUUUCUUUUCUAUGUUUUAUAGAUUAUCGGAAGCUCGUUCGCUUUGGAAGUUCGUCAGAGACCUAUCAUACUAUCCGGCGAUUAUAUCAGUAGAUUUUGAUGUUUUGGUCAAGGUUAGAAUGGCAUGUAUAAAUGAACUUCUGCUUAAUGAUCUAGUUGUUUUGGAAUGUAUAAGUGUUAUUAUGGUUGAUGUACUUAUGGUUUUUUGAUGCCUUGAUGGUUGGUGUUAUUAUGGCCAAGAUGUUGCAUGUUUUGAAUGAUCAAUUUGGUAUGUGAUGGUGUAUUUUCAAUAUGGUCAAUUAAGGUAUGUUUUUAGUUGAAAUAAGUAAAAUGUGUAAGGUUGAUGAAUGGUCAAGCAUGCAUAUUUUUUUGUAGGUUUAAUGGAUUGUAAUUAAGGUGUCUUAUUGGCAUAUUGGUUGCAUGGAUUAUUGGUAUAGAGAUUUGGUCAUUUGAUGUAUGUUUUGGGCAUGUUUUAAGGUCUUGAUUAUUUAUGCAAUUGGCUUGUAGGUACAUGUCUAAAUGGGUGAAAGAAAUGGUUUGAUUUUAGCCAAUUCUUGUCCACACAGCCUAAAAUGCCGGCGUGUGUCUCAGUCUAUUGUGACACGGUCGUGUGUCCCUUGUAGGUAUUAAAGGUUUCAAGUCAGGCAGUUACACGGCCUCGCACACGUCCUGGUACAUAGGCGUGUGAGGCCAUUUCGAGUGUUACAUGGCCUGGCACACGGGCGUGUGGCUUGGUCGUGUGACCUAACUUAGAGAGUUACAUAAGCACGAACACAGGCUGGGACACGGCCGUGUGUCCCUAUUUUGAUUGUUACACAGCCUAAGACAUGGGCGUGUGUCUCAGCUAUGUGAGUCAUAUGGCAGUGUGAACCCUGUAGUUUUGAAUUUUCUAACAUUUUCCUGAUUUAGUCCUGAAUCAUUUCUAAAGUGUUUCUAAGGCCUCGAGGGUUCGAAUAAGGGAUGAUAUGAAUGUCUAUGAGUGGAUUAUGCUAUGAUUAUUGUAAUGUUUGGAAAUGAAUGUUUUUAGGUUAUGUUUAUACAGUAAUGCUCCGUAACCCUAUUCUGGUGAUGGAUACGGGUUAGGAGUGUUACAUUUAGUGAUAUCAGAGCUAUGGUUUAGUUGGUUCUCAGACUGAACGUAGCGAGUACGAGUCUAGAAAUACAUGUCAUUAUAUAACCUGUGAUUGUGUGGUAACUCCUAACUCAAUUUGAACUAUACUUUUAUAUAGAUAAUGUCAUCCAACCAAGUCGAUUCUGAUGAGGCUGAAAGUAUCGCGCAAGCCUCUGUUCAUGUAGCAGCGUUGAGUGGAAGUAGACUUGUAUUUAAGGUAUGGGGAGGAGAGGCUAAGGAAACCUUCUUUCAGAUGAUGAAUGAGUGGUUCACCGAUUUUCUACGAACGAACCCGAUGGCUCAACGACCUCAACCCCUACAUAUUCCCCAACCAAUCCCUAUAGUUCCUCAAGGUUUUGAACCAAUACGAUUGAGCAAGCCUCCAGUUGAUAAAAUCCGCAAAUAUGAGGCUGAAGAGUUUAGAGCUACGUCUAAAAAUGAUCCAGAUAGAAUCGAGUUAUAGUUAGAAAAUACAAUCAGGGUUUUCAACAAAUUAUCUUGUACGCCGGUAAAAUGUGUGAAAUUUUUUGUUUCCUUACUGAAAGACUCAACCUAUCAGUGGUGGAAUACCUUGGUUUCAGUUGUGUCAAGAGAAUGAGUAGACUAGGAAUUCUUUCAAACUGAGUUCUAUAGCAAAUAUGUGAGUCAGAGGUUUCUUGACAAGAAACACAAAGAGUUUCUCAAGCUUAAACAAGGCCAGAUGAUACUAUCUGAGUGAGAGACAGGAUUUGUUUGAUUGAGCAAGUAUGCCCGAGAAUGUAUACUGACUGAGAUUGCCAUGUGUAAACGGUUUGAAGAUUUGCUGAAUGAAGACAUGAAGCUGUUAGUCAGGAUUCUAGAAUUGAAAGAAUUUUUUAUUCUAGUUCACCGAGCACACAAAGCUGAAGAAUUGAGUAAAGCUAAAAGAAAAGUUGAUUUAUGAGGCUUGUGAUUCGAGUAAGAGAUCGGCGGGAAAAUCAUCUCAUUUAUCGUCAAAGAAGUCAAAAGAAUAUCAUAAUCGUUCGUUAGCUUCAGUGGGUCAUUCUGGUAGAGAUCGAAGAAAAUAGCAUGCGAAUUUAAAACCUCAGGCUACUCUAUAUCGAGCCUAGCACACGGACGUGUGAAGCCAUUUUGAGUGUUACACGGCCUGGCACACGAGCCACUGGCUUGGCCAUGUGACCAAACUCAGAGAAUUACACGAGCAUGGACAUGGGCUGGAACACGGCUGUGUGUCCCUAAUUCGAUUGUUAGAUGGCCUGAGACAUAGGCGUGUGUCUCAGCCGUAUGAGUCAUACAGCCGUGUGACCCUUGCAGUUUUGAAUUUUCUAACUUUUUCCACAAUGUUUCAAAUGUUCCUGAUUUAGUCCCGAAAUAUUUCUAAAGUGUUUCUAAGGCCUCGAGGGUUCAAAUAAGGGGCGAUAUAAAUGUCUGUAAGUGGAUUAUGCUAUGAUUAUUGUAAUGUUUGGAAAUGAAUGUUUUUAGGUUAUGUUUAUAUAUUAAUGCUCCAUAACCCUAUUCUGGCGACAGAUACAGCUUAGGAGUGUUACAUAAACUCAAGUUACUUUGCUACCCUUGCUCACAACCUUUUCAAGAUAUUUAUUUGUACUCGUUUUUUCUCUUCUUUAUUAUUAUUAUUUUCUUUUUCUUUUCUUUUUUCUUUUAGCAUGUCACAAAAUUCUUUGACUUGAUAUUCACAAUGGAGCAUACACUAAAUUACCUAGCUCUCAAUCAUGUCAUAAUUUAAAUAUAAAUCACUUGUGAAGCUAAGGUUUUUGACUAAAAAGAUGGAUGAAGUAAACAACUACCUUCUUAGCUACUCAGUCUGUUGCUAUAGUGAAGUACCCAUUUUCUUUAUUACACACUAUUACUUGGACUCACCUUUCUAGUCAACAGCACAGUGGAGCAAAUAAAAUGGUGCUAACUUACUCAACAAUUUUAAGCAUUGGAGUGCCUAUUGUCCUUUAUUUAAGUAAUGUCGUGGCAAAAUGACUGAGUUUGGCUUCAAAAACCCUAAAUUCAUCAAAAAGCCCUUGCUAUUAAUCAAAAAGGGAAAAAAACUAAGUAUAAGACAUCUCAUUUUUAAGAAUUAAUUUUCACGCAAUCUAACCUAAGCUAAACUCGCCUCAUCCACUAUCACAUGUUUUAGAUAUACUGAAGAAUAUAAGCUCAUCAUCGAACAUCACAAGUACAGAUUGAAUUUCUCGCAGAUAAAACAGUAUUUAAUAAUCACAUGGCAUUGGAAAACAACUUAACUAUACUAGGAUGAACAUACAUACUAGAUACGUAAUGCAACCUAAAUGCACAAUACAUCACCCCAAACUUAAGGGAUGCAUUAUCCUCAAUGCAUGAAUAGAUAUAUGCAAACUAUCUAUGUACAGACAAUGUCAUGGCAAAAUAUAUGCAAUGCAAUAUGUCUGAAAUAAAACGAAAACUUUCCUUGCUUGGACUACAUUAUAGAUACUUCAUUAUGUCUGACGAGUUGAUUUAUGAGCAGCAACCUUGUACCUUUACUUCCUCUUCAUCCUCACAGUCAGUCUCAAUACUGACAAACUUUAUUUUCUCUGGUUCUUUCUCUGAUGCUUUAGGUGCAUUCUCUUAAUUGGUAGGAUUUGUCGAUGGGUUCUGCGUCACCGACCCUAUCCCCUCUUGCAGUUUAUUAAACAAAGGAAAUAAAAUAACUAAGAGAAAUUUAAAUCGACAAAAUAAAAUAAAAAUAAAAAGAAUUUUCAAGAUGUUGAAGUUAAACAUCUCAAAGAUCAAAGGACUAUUUGUCUCACUCUACAUAAGCACCCCAAUAGUGUUUCAAGCGUUGUCCAUUAACUUUAAAUGUGUCCCCUAUUUUCAUGUACUUGACAUCAACAACUCCAUGUGGGAUAUAUAUGAGCUACCAAGCAUUAUUCAUCAAAAUUGAAAGGUUUAUUUUGCUCCAGCAAAGUGUAUAAGGGUCUCCGCUCAAAUGAAUCUUUAUCACUAUCAAAACUGAUGUGGCAAUAUAUCAUGAACUCUUCCUCCACUACUGUUUCUAUUAAGUCAAUGGCAUGGCAUUCUUUAUUAUCAUCAAAAUAUUUCAGUGCAUUAAAUAAAUUUAAUGUGACCUAUUGAUCAUUCAUCCUCAUGGUCAAUUCACCUUUCUACACAUCAAUUGAAGUCCUGCCUGUAGCAAGAAAAGGCCUUCCAAGAAUAAUUGGCACAUCUUUGUUAGCUUCACAAUCUAAAAUAAGGAAAUCAGCUGGAAAAAUAAACUUAUCUACUCUUACCAACACAUCUUCAAUUUUACCUUCUGGAUGUGCAUAGGAUCGAUCAGCCAGUUGUAAUGUAACUGUAGUAAGUCUAGUUUUUCCAAUUCCCAGCUUCCUGAAAAUAGACAGCAAUAUUAGAUUUAUACAUACUCCUGAAUCACAUAAUGCAUUACCAACAUAAUGAUUUCCAAUUAAACAUAAAACAGAGAAACUCCCUAAGUCCUUCAACUUUGGAGGUAAUUCAUCAACAUUGUUGUGCACCCUUAAGUGAAAGCAAUAGUCUCAAGUUCUCCCAUUCUGUGCUUCUUCGACAGUAUAUCCUACAUAAAUUUCAUAUAGUUUGGCAUUUGCUCCAAAUCUUCUACUAGUGAUAUAUUAAUAUGUAGUUGCUUCAAGACCUCCAAAAACCUUUUGAACUGAACAUCUUGUUUAGAAUUAUGUAAUUUCUGAGGAAAAGAUAGAGGUGGUCGCCCUUCAGGUUUCUGAUAUUGUUUUCCUAUAGCGUUUUUAUUGGCAGCCUGAUCUAGUUCUGCCACAGCAUUCUUCUGCUUACCCUUUUCAAGUGUAAUAUGUUUUUCAGAUGGCUUUGGGAUCUUCACAUGGUUGUUAUUUGAGUUAUCCUCUCCUGCUGUGGCAUCUUGAACAACAUCAUUUAACUGAGUUCCACUUCUAAGAGUGAUCACUUUGCACUGUUCUUUCCCUUAUGUUAUCCAAUUCUAGGUAUCGUUGGCAAUGCUCCUUGUGGCCUCAAAUUUAAAGCAUUUGCUAUUUGCCCCACUUGAUUCUCAAGAGCUCGUAGGGACAUAGCUUGACUAAGGUAUCUUUCUUGGCCAUAAAUUAUUUCAACAAGUCUUCAAUAGAUGGUGAUGAUAAUGACUGGCCUUGUUGUACAUUUUGCCUCAGCAUAGGAUGAUUAUAACUAGGCGAUGCACUAUCGGCAUUCUUCUUGUAGCAUUGUUAAAAUUCCCCUCACCUUGAUUAUUCCAACUAAAGUUUGGAUGUUGUCCCCACCUUGGAUUAUAGGUGUUGGAAUAGGGAUUAUUAUUCCAAUUGAAAUUACCUAUGUAGCACAGGAAUGUUGGGUUUGGUGGGAAUUCAUCCAACACGUGGUCAUCACCACAAUAAACACAUGCUAGCCUAAUAGCUUUCACCUCCUGAACUGUAGUUGGUAUCUCUAUCAUCUUGAUCAUAUUAGUUAAAGAUGAAACAUGGGUAGUCAAUGAAGUGAUUGUAUCAAGUUCCAUGGUACCAGCAGCUUUCUUACCUGUUCAAACUCUCGUGGUAGGAUAUUGAUAAUCAUUGCUGGCAAUCUUUUCCAAAAUCUCAUAUGCUUCAUUAUAAGAUUUAUCCAACAAAAUACCAUUGGUGAAGGCAUCAAUUACCAUCCUCAUAUGCGCAUUCAUUCCAUUAUAAAAUAACUCCAUCUGUGUCUAGUGCUGAAAUCCAUGCAUCGGGCACUUCUGAAUGAAGUCUUUAAAUCGCUCUCAAGCUUCAUAUAGCGUUUCAUCAUCCAAUUGCCGAAAAGAUGUGAUGUCAUUUCUAAGCUUGGCAUUCAUAUUUGGAGGAUUAUAUCGUAGAAAAAAACUCUAGCAAAGAUCAUUCCAUGAUGCUACUAUUCAGUACGGCAGAGCAUUCAGUCAUGCUCUCACACGAUCUCUUAAAGAAUAUGGAAACAGUUUAAGUCGCAAAGUGUCUUUAGGCACACCCUACUGUCUCUAUGAGUCAUAAACCUCUAAAAAAAGUCUUAAAUGAAGUAUUGGAUCUUUAUUAGGUAAUCCACUUAACUGUCCUACUGUUUACAACAUCUAAAAUAUUACCAGUUUCAGCUCAAACUACUGAACUUGUAUUUGUGGUCUGACUAUCUCUGGAUUCAAAUCAUCCAAAAUUAGCACAACAUGCUCUCAAAUUGGUCUAUCUCGGUCAUCUAUCACUCUACGAACAUGAAGAUUAGCAUCCUGACCAUUCAAAUUAUCAUUGAGACUAGGAUCAUUUUCGUUUCUAGCAUCAUAGUUCUUUUCACCUUCUUCGUAAAGUUAUUUCGAUGUCUGGGUUAAAAGGAUACUCUUUGUUAGCAGGAAUAUCUUUUCUCAUGUACUGAUGGAAAACUUAUAGAAAAAUAUAACUAAGUUAAAUAAAACUAAUGGAGCUAAGUGAAAUAACAAAACCAAUUUUUAGGAAAUUGUCAAUCCCUGGCAACGGUGCCAAAAAAUUGUCGCGUGUGAAUAUGAUAUGUGAAUUGUGCAAGUAUACACGUUGGAUCAACUAAUAAAAUGAUAAGUGAGUAUCAUUCCCAUGAGGUUCCGAUUGAUGCACAAAAGUGGUCAAGUUAUUAUAAUAGAGUGUUAUUAAUGCUAUGGCAAAAACAACGAUAAGUAUAAAGGAGUAGUGAUGUAUGUAAUAUGUGGAAUUUAAUGAAUACAUGGAAAUGUUAUGGAAAAACAAAAGUAGAAAUGUAAUGGAAAUUAUGAGAAUUACUACGGGAAUAUUAUGUAAAUGAACAAAUAAAUAACUAAUAAUGAUGUGACAAAGAUACUAUGGCAAAGAACAAAGGAUAUACGAUGUUGAUUUGGAAUGUUGGAAUUACUAAGAAUCUACCCUUACUGUCAGAGAUGCCUCGAAAAAAUCAUAAUUAAUUUACUACUUAGAAGAGUUCUAAAGUGGUCUGCUUCUUUCGAGAGCAAAAGUCUCAAGUUACCUUACCCAUGACAAUAUGCCUUUAAUACGAUACCCUGCACUAUUUCUUUCUGUAUGAAUGUUGCUCUAUAUCUAAAGUCUACUACAAGCAUCUAUUGAAUACUUGCUCAUAUCAUUCAAUUUUGGUCCAACUAAUCCAACUUUUUCAAAAUUAAAUUAGUUUAUGUGCAUGCUACAUAGUCUCUAUGUCUAGGAAUUGCACGCUUAUAAUUUAGAAAAAAAUAAUUAAAUGAAACAGUAAAUUAAUUCAAAUCUAUGCUUCAACCAUUAAAGAAAAUAAAGGUUUCAUCAUGUAAUCUCAACCCUAUGAAAUUUAGCUCAUGGGUUGGCACAUAAAAUUUAAAACCAAAAUAACAUCCAACACCAUUUUCAUCAUUCCAUUCAAGGAAGAACAAAGGAAGAAAAGUAUAAGACUUUGAGAAUACAACUUUUGCAUGUCAUGUUCACACUCCAACAACAUAAUUCAGGCGAUGGCUAAGAGGGACUACUUUUGUCUUCCUCUUUUUGUCUCUACUCAGUCGCUACCCUCUAUUUUUGCCUAAGGAUCUGUUACUUUUUGUUCGUCAUUUAGGGUUUCCUCCUUUGGCUUCUUAUAGCUUUUUUCCUUGGGUAAAUCCAACAAAUCAUGUUUAUCUUCUCCUCUUUUUAAAAUUUUUUUUCUAGAAUAAAAAUAAACAUCCCAGGAUUAUCUUCUCCUCUUUUAGGUACAUUUUUUUGGUAAAACUACAGUUGGGCUGAAAUUGGUAUGCAUUGAGUGUUGACUCGGUCUUCCUAGAAUUGCCACAGCAUUCGUGCUAACCAAAUGUCCAACCUUUUGCCCUGGUAAACCUUUACUCCUUUAUUUCUCAUUCCUCAACCUGCACCUGCCAAAGCACCAAACACAACCCUACCAUAAGCAAUUAAAAGUAUCUAUUAUUGAUUUUUUUUGGUAAGUGGUAAUAGGACUUGUAACUAAUAUAGUUUUGGAAAAAAUAUAAUUUUUUUAGAAUCUUUGAGGCAUAUUUUCGAUUGGUAAAUGAGGAGUUUUGAAUCAUAAAAUUAUGAUUUUAUGUUCUACCCCAUGAGACCUUUACAACGAGAUAUCAUAUGCUCAAAAUGGUUGAGUGAUGAAUGAGAAAUUGAUGCUCAAAGUAAGCUACUUGGAAAUUAUGUUGAGAAAAAUGAAAAAGCAUUAAUCCCACAUUUAUUAGGAAUCAAGUGUGGAACUUGUAUAUAUAUGUAAAUCAACUUGGUGGUUAUUAAAUGAGUAAACUAAUGCUCUCCCUCGUGCGCAGGGGGUGCAAAUCUAAAUCCACUGAGGUUGGGGCACACCCGCACGACAUGGGCGUUUCCAAGAUUUUACUCAAAUUGAUUUAAAGGCUUCUUUAAUGCAUAUUUGUAUCUUUAUUCAUGGAAAUUUCUAAAAUUCUUCCACAUUGAAUGCUUAUAAAAGCCUAAAUUCUUUAAAGACACACAACGAAUUUAUUUCACUCUCGAAAAUUCUAUUCCUUUUCUCUCCAAAAUUUUCAAAUGUCCGGUGAUAGAAGAAUGCAAGGUUUGUUCGUUGAUCACUGCAGACGUACUACUGCCGCAAUCAUUUUGUUAUUGUAUCCUGGGAGACAGAUGACCAACAUUUCUCUAAGUACCAUAGGAGCAGCUGAAUCUGUCUUAAGGAAACUGUGAAAACAGGCCUCAGCAUCUAGUAAAACUCGAUUUCCUUAUUCAAUUUCUGGUUUUUCAAUAUCUUGUUUAUAUAAUUAUUUUUUAGAUUUGAUGUUUUAAAUAAAUAUUAAUAUUUAUUUAAUUUAUUUUGUUUAGAUCUGGUGUUUUUACACAAAUAUAGAUAUUUGGUUAUAUUAUUUGUUCAAGAUAUUAUAUUUAAUAUAAAUAUUUACAUUUAUAUUUGUUCGCUAACGUGUUUUGUCCAACAAUAUUAAGACAGAUUUUUAUUAUUUUAAAAUUCUCUAAUCCGAGUAGAACGAGGCACGAAGGCGAAAAAAACAUAUUCUGUCUAAGGAAAAAAUUAAAUUGAAUAAAAUCUAUUUCGGGAUUUAUGAUUGUCGUUCAAUAGAUUUUAUUCCUUUUUUAUUUUGUUUCCAAACAAGAAUUAAUUGAAUAAUUCUAUUUCAGAAUUUAUUCUCGCAUCUCAACAGAUUUUAUUCUAUUUUGAUUUUGUUUCCAAACAAUAAUUAAAUAAAUAAUUCUAUUUCGAGAUUUAUUCCCGCCAUUUAACAGAUUUUAUUUGAUUUUGAUUUUGUUUCCAAACAAGAUUUAAUUAAAUAAUUUUGUUUCAAGAUUUAAUCCUGUCGGCCAACAAAAUUGAUUUUAAUUUUAUUUCAGAAUUUUAACUCUUCCAUUUAACAAAAUCAAAGGGUAAUAUAAAUUUUAAAUUAAAUUUUUUAUUUAUUGUGGCUUUAAUUGUGGCUUUAAAUUGUGAAAGCUUAAAUUGUAGCUUCAAACUUGUGACAUCAAAGAAAAAAAAAUUUAUCAACGGUGAAUUAAAAAAGACAAUAUGAGAGUGCAUGUCUAGGAUUGGUUCUUUGAAAGACUUGGUAUUUAAGCGUGCCAAGUGCACCACCUCUCUUUCAGGGUUACCUACCUGGCACAUUUUUUUUGUCUUUCGAUUAGACCGUGUAAACUUUUGUUUCAAGUUUUAUUAAAUUCCUAUCGUCUAGCAAAAGUUGAUAAUUUUUUUCUAAUUUUGGUUUUGUUUCUGAAAUCUUAACAGAAAAUGGAAACUCCCACCAAUGCUAUGGAAGAUAUGGACUUAUGUGCUGUGAUUUUUGGAGUCAACAUGGUUGACUCACAUCCAAGAGAAUAGUGGCUUGAUACUAGUGCCACACGUCAUAUUUGUUGUGACAAAGACUUCUUUUCUGAGUUGGAGCCUUGUGAAGAUAGGGAGAAGCUCUAUAUGGGCAAUGCUAUGACUUCCAAGAUCAAGGAGAAUGGUACUAUAGUCUUGAAGAUGACUUCUGGUAGAGAACUCAAGCUUCAAAAUGUGUUGUAUGUGUUUGACAUACGCAAGAACCUUAUUUCUGAGACACUCCUUAGUGUACACGGUUUUAAGACGGUGUUUGAAUCCCAGAAGCUAGUUUUGUCUAAAGGGUGAAUGUUUGUGGGAAGGGGAUAUGUAUUAAAUGACAUAUGGAAACUUAAAGCAAUCUCUGUAAAAUCAAAAACUAUGAAUAAGAGUGUUGUUUCUUCUUCUAUUUAUAUGCUUGAGUCAUUUAAUUUAUGGCAUGGUAGGCUCGGACAUGUUGAUUAUGAUACUUUACAUAGAUUAAUUAAUUUAGAGCACAUUCCUUCAUUUCACAUUAGUUAUAAACAUAAAUGUGAAACUUUUGUUGAGGAAAAAUUAACAAUGCUUUCGUUUGAAACUAUUGAAAGAAAUAUAGAACCACUCGAUCUAAUACAUAGCAAUGUUUGUGACUUAAUGUUUGUUCAAACCAGAGGAAGGAAUAAAUAUUUUAUUACCUUCAUUAAUGAUAGCACAAAAUAUUGUUAUGUAUAUUUGCUUCAGAGCAAAAACGAAGUUAUAGAGAAAUUUAUUCUCUAUAAACAGGAAGUUGAAACCUAACUUAAUAACUAAGAUGGUAAGAAGUGAUUGUGGUGGUAAAUAUGUUGAACCAUUUAGUGAAUACUGUGCACAACAUGGUAUUAUUCAUGAAGUGACACCACCAUACACUUCUCAAUCAAAUGGAAUAACCGAGCGAAAAAAUCAGACUCUAAAGGAAAUGAUGAACGCAUUACUAGGAAGCUCUGGGUUAUCACAGAACAUGUGGGGGGAAGCUAUUCUAUGAGCUAAUUACCUUUUAAAUAAGGUUCCCUACAAGAAAAUGGACAAUACACCAUAUGAGUUAUGGAAAGGUAGAAAACCUUCCUACAACUACUUGAAACUGUGGGGGUGUCUUGCAAAGGUAAUGGCUCCAUUACCAAAGUAAAUGAAAAUAGGUCUUAAAACGGUGGAUGUAUUUUCAUAGGCUAUGUAGAUCAUAGAAAUACAUAUAGGUUUUUUGUGUAUGAAUCAAAGAAUCCUGACAUUCACAAGAAUAUUAUAUUGGAAUCAAUGAAUUCUUUAUUCUUUAAAAAUAUCUUCCCUUAUAAAGCUAGGGAAGUUUAUUCAAGUUCAACAAAAUGAACUUCAGAGACUAUAGAAGAAAAUAGUCAAGACGAGGUUAAAACUAUGAUAGAGCCAAGAGUAAACGAGUAACACUGCAAAAAUCUUUUGGAUCAGAUUUUCUAACCUUUAUGCUAGAUGCUAAACCUCAAACAUGUGAUGAUGCUAUACGGUCAUCUAAAAGCACUUCAUGGAAAGAUGCUAUUAAAAGUGAAAUUGACUCCAUCAUGUAAAAUCAUACAUGAGAAUUAGUGGAUCUUACUCUAGGAAUUAAACCAUUAAAUUCUAAGUGGAUUUUUAAAUGAAAAAUGAAAGCAGAUGAAACAAUUAACAAGUACAAGGUCAGAUUGGUUAUAAAAGGUUAUAGAUAAAAAAGAAGGCCUACUUUGAUACUUUUUCUCCAAUAUCCAGGAUAACUUCUAUAAGGAUGAUACUUGCAAUUGUCGCCUUAUAGAAUCUAGAAGUACAUCAAAUGGAUGUUAAAACAACUUUCCUAAAUGGAGAUCUUGAUGAAGAAAUUUACAUAGAACAACCUGAGGGUCAUGUAAUUCUAAGACAAGAAAGGAAAGUUUGUAAAUUGGUGAAGUCUUUAUAUGGACUUAAGCAAGCACUAAAACAAUGGCAUUAAAACUGUUCGACAAUGCCAUGAUGACAAAUGGCUUUAAGAUUAAUGAAUGUGAAAAUUGUGUGUAUGUCAAAACUACCGAUAUUGGAUAUAUAAUCCUAUGCUUAUAUAUUGAUGACAUAGUCAUUGUUGGGAGUAACAAUGAAAUGGUAAAACGUGCCACAGACAUGUUAAAUUCAACGUUUGACAUGAAAGAUAUGGGACUAGCAAAUGUGAUUUUAGCAUCCAAAUUAAGAGGUCAUAUGAAGGUCUGAUAUUGACUUAGCCACACUAUGUGGACAAGAUUCUUGGGAAAUUUAGCAAGGAUGAUUCCGGUAUAGCCAAAACUCCAAUAGAUACAAGCCAACAUUUGUCCAAAAAUAAAGGUGAAAGUGUUGACCAAGUGGAAUAUGCAGGGGUCAUAGGCAGUCUAAUGUACCUUAUGAGUUGUACUAGACCAGAUAUUGCUUUCACUGUGAGCAGUUUAAGCAUAUUCACAAGCAAUCCAGGGGAAAACCAAUGGAAAGUAAUUGUGAGGAUACUGAGAUAUCUUAGAUAUACUCGGGACUAUGGAUUGCAUUAUUCCAAAAAUCCUAUUGUUUUAGAAGGAUUCUCCUGUGCCAGUUGGAUAUCUGAUAUUCAAGAUACCAAAGGCACAAGUGGAUAUGUUUUUACAUUAGGAGGAGGAGCUAUGUCAUGGAAAUCCCCAAGACAAACGAUUAUAACCAGAUCCAUAAUAGAAUCUGAGUUUGUAGCUCUAGACAAAUCUGGAGAAAAGGCUAAAUGGCUUCGAAACUUCUUGGAAGAUAUUCCUGACUGGCCAAAGCCUGUGCCCACAAUAUGUAUAUAUUGUAACAAUCAAGCAACAAUUGGUAGAGCACAAAAUGUAAUAUAUAAUGGUAAGUCAAGACAUAUGCGUCGUUGACACAAUACUUGUAGACAACUGAUCUCAAAUGGAGUUAUCUCUAUUGAUUUUGUAAAAUCAAAAGAUAACAUUGUGGAUCCGCUAACUAAAUGCUUAAAUCGAGAUCAGGUUAAUAAAACAUCGAAAGGAAUAGGACUAAAGCCCAUGGAAAUUAAAGGCGCUAUGUAAAGGAAAACCCAACCUAGUUGACUGGAGAUCCCAAAAUCUAAGUUCAAAUGGACAACCUAAUUGCAUAGGCCUUGUGAGGUCACUAUAGGGGUUCUUAUUCCAAGUCCGUUCCUAUGAAAUAAACAGUAAUUUAAAGUGAGAUAGGUUAAGUAAAGCUUUUAAUGACCAUUGUGUGUUUCGGAAAGCCAAGCAACAUAAGUCACCUAUGUUAGAGUGAAGUGGGGCCGCUUCGAGGAGACUAUUGUGCAUAGUUCUCUCAAAAUCUUGCAGAACCAGGAAAUGUUCAUGGUCAUAUAAACAUACCUAUGAGAACGAAGACCUUGCUAGGGAGGUAGUUGUGUAAGGUAUAUCAUUGUUUACACAAACGACAGAACAGUUCAAGGAUAUUGCGUCAACUAGUCAGCUAGUAAAAUAAAUAUACUUUCACAAUGUAAGGUUCAAGGGUUGAUGUCUGCCUAUCAUAUGCAACUAUCAAUCGUAGAAUCUAUCACCACAUCCAGCCAAUGUUUUUCAUUAAACCUAUCAAUUUCAUUCAUGUGGGGUAUUGUUGGAAAAAUAUGAUUUUUUGGAAUCUUUGAGGCAUAUUUUCGAUUGGUAAAUGAGGAGUUUUGAAUCAUAAAAUUAUGAUUUUAUGUUCUACCUCAUGAGACCUUUACAACGGGAUAUCAUAUGCUCAAAAUGGUUGAGUGAUGAAUGAGAAAUUGAUGCUCAAAGUAAGCUACUUGGAAAUUAUGUUGAGAAAAAAUGAAAAAGCAUUAGUCCCACAUUGAUUUGGAAUCAAGUGUGGAACUUUUAUAUAUAUGUAAACCAACUUAGUGGUUAUUGAAUGAGUAAACUAAUGCUCUCCCUCGCGCGCAGGGGGUGCAAAUUCAAACCCAUCGGGGUUGGGAAACACCCGCACGACGUGGGUAACGCGAAAUGUCCGGAUCGAUCAGGCCCUUUUAGGCCUGCGAAUAUUUUAGCCCAAUACGUAUUUAUUUAUUUUUUUGAGCAGAUAUUAUACAGAAUCUGUUUUAAAAGAACAAAUAUCUCAUUUUGAUUUGAUUCCAAUCAAAUUUGAUUUUAUUUUAUUCAAAUUGAUUUAAAGGCUCCCUUAAUGCAGAUUUGUAUCUUUAUUCAUGAAAAUUUCUAAAAUUCCUCCACAUUGAAUGUCUAUAAAAGCCUAAAGAAUAUUGCAGAAUUCUUUAGAGACGCACAACGAAUUUAUUUCACUCUCGAAAAUUCUAUUCAUUUUCUCUCCAAAUUUUUCAAAUGUUUGGUGAUAGAAGAAGGAAAGAUUUAUUUAUUGAUCACUGCAGAAGCACUACUCCCAUGAUCAUUUUGUUGUUGUUUCUUGGGAGACAGACGAUCAACGUUUCUCCAAGUACCAUAGGAGCUGUCGAGUCUAUCUUACGGAAACUGUGAAAACAGGCCUCAACAUCUAGUAAAAUUCGAUUCUCUUAUUCGAUUUCUAAUUUUUCAAGAUCUUGUUUAUUUAAUUAUUUUUUAGAUAUGAUGUUUUAAAUAAAUAUAAAUAUUUAUUUAAUUGAUUUUGUUUAGAUCCGGUGUUUUUACAUAAAUAUAAAUAUUUGUUUAUAUUAUUUGUUCAAAAUCUUGUAUUUAAUAUAAAUAUUUAUAUUUAUAUUUGUUCACUAAGGUGUUUUGUCCAAACUAUAGCUUCUCAAUAAUUGUCAAAUAUUAUAGUGAUAUGCUUUUUCUUUCAAUAAUUCAUAUCUUCAAGAUUAAAAGGUUUACUUUAGUAUUAUUCUAUUUAUUGAGUGUGUAUUAAUGUUUUGUACAGGAAUCCGUUGGAUUUUGGUCUUGUAUAAAUUAGCUGUGGUUGUGGGUAAAUAAAUGUGUGCCGUUCUUCAUUCUCCGAACAUGCUGAAUAUAAUUAUUGGCAUUUCAAGUGUGGCAUAAUAUAAAACAAUGGUUGGCUUCAUCAUAAUCUGUUUGGAGACUAACGGACCACACUUUGACCUCCAAAUUUAGAAAAUAUUUCCAGAGUUGGAAAUUGUAAUUGUAAUACCCUAAUAUUUGUACACCGCAGUGAACAUGGACAAUCAUGUCAUGAUGCAGAACCAGAAAAUGGUGCCAACUCUCCUUCUUCUCCCCCUCUUUCUUCCAAAACUAUAUCCUCGAAAAUGGUGACAUCAAACUUCCUUUCGUUUAUCAAAGGUUCACCCCUCACAUUACAGGGUCCUGUUCGUAUCUCAAGGCAAUCAAACAUGGAAUCCAUAUAUAUGAUUCUUCCCCAAUCCUUGUUGUAGAUUCUUUGGGGAUACAAGCCUUUUUGUUUGUAUUUAAAUACAAAAAAGGGAGAAAGAAAAGUGCCAUCUACAACUGCAUGCUAAUGAUUGCCAAAAUCACUGUUUGUUUUGUUGGAAGGCUUUCAAUCUUGCGGGGUCUUGAAGAGCCUGUUUCAGUAACUUGCCAUUAAUUCUCUCUUACAUUCCAAUCCUAAAAAAUGCUUCCAUCUUUUAGCUGCAACAGUUUAUAAUCAUCAGAAAGGUCUAGUCAGAAUAAUAUUACCUUCUCCUUUUAAACAGUUUUUUUUUUUUAAAUCAUGCCACUACAACUGUAGCUGCGCUCAUGUUAACAAUUAAUUCCUAUAAUCGACAUCAAAAUUAUAUGAAAGAAUUAACACUUGGUUACCGAGUUACCAUAUUUGAAGAUAACGCGAAAGGUAAAAACACAAAAGGCAAGCAUGACCAAGCAAACAAGGUAUGGACAUUGAUUUUUUUGAAUCGGGAAUGACCAAAUGGGACCGUGAAGAGGUGACAAAGGAGAAAUCAGGCAUUCACGGUUUCCAUUGGAUGAAAUGAGAUAAGAUCACUGUGCUUCUUCCACGUGGCAGGUUGCCAAAGAUAAGGCUUUACCAUUCAAGAAAAGUUUCCACCCUCUUUGUGGUCAUUAUGGUUGUAAUGUCAUCUGAUUUAGGAUCCAACGGUCACCCUGUCUCCCAAACCAAUCUCUAAAUGUGGUGAGCUUAGACCAAAUUUUAUGACUAUAUAUAGGGGAUUGCACCAAGGCAGUGACACUAUUAAGGGAUCAGUGAGACUCUUUUGUAUACCUGUAGCAUAUAGUAAUAGUAAGCAGUAAUAGCAAUGGCCUCCUCCAUGAUCUCAUCGGCAACCAUUGCCACCGUGAACCGCUCCUCCCCGGCACAGGCCAACAUGGUGGCCCCCUUCACCGGCCUCAAAUCUGCCUCUGCUUUCCCAGUCACCAGGAAGGCCAACAACGACAUCACUUCUCUUGCAAGCAACGGUGGGAGAGUGCAAUGCAUGCAGGUACUUGGUGAUGCAUAAAUACCACUUAAAUUACCCCAAGUGUUUGAACACAACAAAUUACAUAAAUUGAAUCAAAUAUAUAUCUUGGCUUUUGAGUACAGGUGUGGCCGCCUCUUGGGAAGAAGAAGUUCGAGACUCUCUCAUACCUGCCCGAUCUUACUCCCGUACAGUUGGCUAAGGAAGUAGAUUACCUUCUUCGCUCUAAAUGGAUUCCUUGCUUGGAAUUCGAAUUAGAGGUGUUUUGGAGCUCUAAAUUAUUCCAUUCCUCCUCUUAAUUUUUUUAGUGGGAUAUUUGAGUUGAUUAAGUGUGUUUUAUAUGUAUGUGCAGGAGGGAUUCGUGCACCGUAAGUACUCGAGCUUACCCACGUACUACGAUGGACGCUACUGGACCAUGUGGAAACUGCCCAUGUUCGGGUGCACCGACUCGGCUCAGGUGUUGAAGGAGCUUGAGGAAUGCAAGAAGGAAUACCCCAAUGCAUUCAUUAGAAUCAUUGGGUUCGACAACGUUCGUCAAGUGCAGUGCAUUAGUUUCAUUGCCUACAAGCCUGAAGGCUACUAAGUUGUUUACUUCCCUCCUAGGAAUUCCAUUUGUUUCAAAGUUGUACUUAAAUUAAGCCCCUCAAGCCCCCCCCCCCUUUUUCUUUUUCUUUUUUAGUUGAGUUAUUUGGCUUGGGGUCUCUCUUUGUUUUGUUUUUGGAUUUCCAAUGGAACGGCUGAGAACUAAUGAAUAAAAAGGUAGUUUCUUGCCAUAUUUCAUGAAUCCAGUUCUUCCUCCAUUUUCAGUGCUAAGAUAUUCAUGUUAAGAUAGGAUAAAAAUUAAAAGAAAAAAAGGUGAUUGGGUGGUCUGGCUUUAAAAUAAGAGGAUAAAGAUUUUGUGGACAAGCAACGCUGUGCUGUUGGAGGCUCAUUAUCUUAGUACAUAGGAAUACACCAAAGAAACCAUUUUUAUUAAAUUGUUUUAUUAUGACAUCACAAGUUUCUAUUAUUAAAAUAACAACUUAAAAAGGCUAAAUUCAAAUA